UUUUUUUUUUUUUUUUUUUCAGUUAGGGGUAUCCGGGCCUACACCCGACUAAUCCCCUAACCCUAGGAGAGCGGGCCCCACCGAUCCUCAGGAAGAUAUCCCAGGCUGAAUCGAAACCAAGACCGACGCCUUAACUAAGAACGCGAAACCCAGCCGAGCAACCCGUGGGGGGCUAUGCCCAUUCUUGUCUAAGCCAUCAAGAAAUUCUAUAGUUCUAUUUGAUUUCAUGAUUAAAAAGAAAAAGAGCACAAUAUCGUCUUAAAAAUUUGUCAAUACAAAUAGUAAAUACUUGUACUUCUUCUUGCAAAAAUGUACAUUCUUAAUAAAAUAUUCAUCAGAAGGUGUAGAGAAAAAUUCUGACCAGGAAGGGGAAAGUUUUUCCUAAUUGACAAUUAUAAUUCUAGAUGCAAAUUUGCCCAAGUUAGUUUAAGAGACCAUUUCUAUGGUUUAGUUGUAGCCAUCAUUCUUGAAAAAAAUGAAAACUCCAAGAAAUCAAAAGAAGGGACAAAAACACUUACCGGAUUCUUGACGACAAGGGUUAUUCAGUAAAUAAAAAUAAUAAACAUGUGAUUUCAAUUUUCAAUGCCACCAACUUAUACAUCUUUUUGCAGUUUUUAUUGAAAAGCAUGCCUUAUAUUUCUGGAGGGCACCUAGGAAUUGGACUUGGAGGUAUCAUUCUGCCUAACUUCUUGAUGGAUAGUUUUCAAGUAGGUAGCAUUGGAUGAUAGCAAUUAGGCUCCUAUAUCUGAAAAUUAACUUUGUGAUUAGCACAAAUGGAAAGCUUUCACAAGUUAAGAUGCCACUAUUAGCCAUUAAUGUUCCCCAAAUUUAUCAUUAUCUCUUUAUCUCCAUAUUGUUACUCCACCCCUAAAACCAUACGAGCAAUAAUUGAAGGAAUUUUAUAUAAAAAUUUCAAAUUCAUGAUGUCUUGUCACAUUACUAGUAUACAACUUCUAAUGCUUACUAAAGUAUCAUAUCAAAAUUAUUGAUCGAAAUAAUUGAGAAAAGAUGAUUCUCCACUCACCCAAGUCUUCUUUUGUUUUUUGUUCUUUAUUAUGUGAUUGAUUAGAUGAGCAACUGAUUAGCAAAAGCAAGACCAAACAGAUAAUUACCUACUAAUCUUACAAUGAAUCUAAAAAAGCUUACUCAAAAAAAGGUUUAGGGAAAAACAAAAGGCAUUAUAUAUCCCUCCUCCUCGUACAAGAUCAAUAAUGUCUGAUAGUUGGCGCUCAAAAAGACUUGGUACAAUGACUCUCGUUACUCUACAGUCCUAUACCAGUGGCUCUGUAAAAAUUGUCCAAUUUCCCUGAAGACGUUAAUACACUCUGUAUCAGGAACUGGGUAAAAACAAAAGGAUCCCUCAUUAGUUACUGCAAAAUUCGGCCGUUAGCAUGUAGUGGAAGCAAUGUUCAGCUGCCAUUCGAUUCUUCGGGAAGUUCCUGCAUGACACAAAUCUCAAUCCUUACAUGUCAAUGUUAAAACUUAUCAAAAAGAAGCAGCAGAUUGACCACCAACAUUUACCUGAACUUCCUGUUGAAGAAGUUCUUCGAGUUGUACCCUUAUAUUGGAGAAGGAAGGUCUGUUCUCGGGUAUCGCUUCCCAACAUCUUUGCAUCAUAUUUAAGAGCUUUGGAUGCGCAUCCUUGGGAAGCUCAGGCCGAAGACCCUAGAGGGAACAUACAUCGAGUCAAUUCGACAUUAACAAAAAAAAAAAAGUAACUUCUAGGAAGAAAUGGUAAAAAUAGUACUCCUUACAUGAAAUGGAAAAAGACUGUUAUCUCGCUAAGGGAAUUAAAAAAAAAUUGCAAGGCACUUAGAGACGAGACAAUUGUUCCGAAAAAAAAAAAUUAAUUUUACCAUCUUGAUUGUGUUGCCACACUCUCUGAGGAACAGUCUUAUCAAAGCGCUCUAUUCAACCAAAGGAGGUAUAGCGACUAUUACUCGCAACCAAAGGAGGUACAUCACUGAGUGUCAUGUUAACAUUUCUUUACAUCUUGUUACUUCAACUUCCAUUAACAAAGUACUUGCAGUUCACAACUACCUCACUUCCACCAAAAUGAAUUGUCUCAAUUUAUGGUUUGCCCCAAGAUUAAUGUCCAGAUUCCCAAAACUGAAAAGUUUUAUCAGCAACCCUUCCUUUGUAAGUACUUUGUGGAUCAGUGAGACUAGCCCAUCCCCCAUGUUUCCCAUCUCAUACCUAAUUAUCUAACAUGACGACCUUACAUGUUCUCCUAUUCAUCCACAUACCAUUCUAAUUUUCCAACUAUUACUUGAUAUACUUGCCUAGCCAAUAUAAAAUACCAAUUUUGGAACUCCAGGAAAAACAUUAUCACGAACUUAUGAUGUAUCUUGCAUCAAGCCAGCUCUUAUGCAUCACUCGCAUUUCAGUGCUACAACUGACAUAGUCAACCAACAUAAGUCGCCUAAUGUAUCAUUGUAAGAAAUGAAUCAUGUUGUAAACCUGUCUGACUCCCAAGGCAGCUUGAAGGGGUGUCAUGGUGUUGUAUGGAAUCUGCAGAUACAGCAAACUGAUUGUAAAUCUUCAAAGAGAAGACCGAUCCAAUGAAGUUAAAAUUUUCUAUAAAGCAUGAUAAAACUCAGAGCACCUUGGACGUCACGAGCUCCCAAAGAACAAUCGCAAAACUAAAUACAUCUGCCUUCUGAUCAUAUGGCUGGUGGUUUAUAACCUGCAAACAAGCAGAUCGAAUUUAAGCAAAACGAGCAGUUCAGCGUAAGAGAGAAACAGACAAAUAAAGCAACUCCCGGUAGUUACUACUUAUUAGGCCAUUGAAGUAACAUGAACAAUCUACUAGAGGAGUAAAAGUCAAGGGAAUAAUGGAGUGUAGAAAUUCUUUUCCAGGCAAUGGAUAUAUAACCAUUUCAAAGAUAAGAAAUCACUGGCAGUAGGCAUAUGUUAAAUCUUGUCUCACGAAGAACUGGAAAUACCAUAACAAUUUGCAAUAUGGUAGAAAAAUUAAUUGCACAGAGCAACAGCUUCAUUUAAAUAGCUAUGUGGAAAGGAUGGAACCAAAUCAAGUCUCUAAAACCACAAGCAGAUCAAAAGGAUCUCCGGCAUGCUUCACACUUUUCAACAUGCGUAGUCCAAAGGUAUACGCAAAGCUGGAAAUGAUAUAUAAACUAUAGAUGGCUUCAUUAGCUUUUUAAAGAACAAGGCAGUCAAACCUCGGGAGCCAUCCAUCUGUAUGUUCCAGUCUCAGCUGUCAUCACACCCCCAACAGAUUGAAAUCGAGCAACACCAAAAUCAGCUACCUUAACAACCUUUAAAAAAAAAAAAUUAAUGAUUACUCACAUGAGUAAUAUACUAAGCAGCACGAUGAGCAAAACUCCAAGACAUGCAAGAGUAAAAUAGAAUCACUUAAGAACCAGUAAAAUGCAAUCACCCGAUUAGAAUGUAAAAUAAAACCAUUGAUGUCCAACAAUGAUCAGUGUAUUCUAGAUGCUAAAAGGUGGCAAGACAGCUAAUCAAGGGUUCAAGAAACAUUAACAAAAAAAUCAUUCCUGCUAGUUUGAAUGCAAUCUUUUGGAGAAUCUUUACUCAAACCACACAUUGUUGGAGUCAUAACUCAAAAUAGAAGUUUAUCACCUUCUAAUUUGAAUUUCUCUACAUUCAUAUUCAAAGGCAGGUUUGUUUAAUCUCUAUAAAAUGAGUAGAUUCCAGGUAUUAUAAUCAGUUUGUUACUUAAAAGACAUGCAGGUCUCAGCAAAUUAGCAACAUCAAAUUGGCCCCACAGUUAAUCUUUUAGUUACAUAUUUGUACUGCAAUGAAUGCAAAAGCAUUUGUCUAUAGACAAGAGUUUCUUCUAACCUGAAUAUAAUUCUUAGGACAUUAAGACAAAUUUGGUCAUUCUGAAAUUAAGGUCAGAUCCCAAGAAUUUCAUACUCCCCCCCCCCCAGCCCCAAUUUUUUUUCCUCAUGUUAUUCAUACAAGCAAAAGAUGCCUAAAAUUUGCACACUGCUGCUAUUUCAUUUUUAGAUUGGAAGUUCACCUAAACUAAAUGGGCAUCACACAACAACCAUCACAGCCAUCCCAAAAGAGCAUUAUAUUUAUGGCAGUAGAAGAACUUAAUUACUUCAAAUGAUGCAAAUAUUCAUCCAAAGAAACAAGAACGGGCAACACUUGGUCAGAGAAAGACAAGUUUUGACAUUGCAGCUGACCAAAAAUCUUCACACUCAUGUCAUAGCCAAAAAUAUAGCAUGUAACUCAGCAAAUCUAACAUCCAAAAGACAAGAAAUUGGCUAGAUUAACUCUGGUCCAAAAAAGCUAUAUUCAAGGACUAUCAGUGACCAGGAGAAAAAGCUAAAGAUAUAAAUAGUUUUUUCCACAUAGUCAAACAUAAGCACCGUAUUACUUUAUCAAAAAGUGCAAAAUAGAAUUCCAUUCAGAUAAUAGUGCUAAAGGGAAGAAUUGAAUAAGCAAGAGCAUUUUGCAUUGGGUGAAAGUAAUUUUGAAUCACAUCCACUCCCUAGGGUGUCACUCUCAGAGUCAUAUCAAAGGAAUAAGUAUCGUGAAGCCAUCAAAAGCUGACCAGCUAUAUGGUUGGUAAGAUCAUCAGAUACUAACAAUAGGGACUUUACAACUACACAAACUGCUAAUUGAUUUUUUAAAAAUUUAUUUUCCAUGACAAACGCACAAAUACCUCCACUAUCUCCCCCCCCCCCCUUCCCUCACUCCCCACUGGGCAUAACAAAUCCUCCUCCUGAUAGGAAAUCAAAAACAAGUAUCAGGAUUUAACUGAAAAAGUUUUUUUUUUUUUGGGUCUACAGCCAUCAUCAAAAGAAUCCAAUUGGCACAUUCAAACUACUUACUUUGGCACUAUCCAUCAGCAAAUUUGCUGUCUUUAGAUCCCUGUGGAUAAUGUUGUUUAGAUGCAAGUAUUCCAUUCCCUUGCAGACAUCGAUGGCAAACUUCAGCAGCUGUGGGAGCUUCAACACAAUAUGGUUCUUGUGCAAAUAUUCAUAGAGGCUCCCCCCAGGCAUGAAUUCUUCACACAGCAGCAGGAGUUAUGUCAACAAGUUACAUAAGCAUUCCAACAAGGAUAUAAGUUAACUUAGUUAUCUAAUAUGCAAAACUACAAAAUGAUGUAUAGACGCCACUCAAGCAACACAUAAUACUUAAAGAGACACGAUGAAGAUGAAAAAACCAUAUGCAAUAGACGGAGUAUCUUAACAUAAGUGUCUAAGUUCCAUACAUACAAGAUAGCAAUUGAAUUUUCAAAACAACCAAAAAGAAAACAUCUUUAUUCACUUAAUUAAGAACCAACUAUGAUUAGAUCCUUUUUUUUCAUUUUCUUCGAGUACAGUUAGAAAAUGUAAGCAAUGGCAGAAGAUAAACAAGACAUGAAUAUAAAUAUUAGUCAGUCCCAAAGCCAUGUACCUGUAACUAUCCAAAAAUUAGGAGAUUUUGUACAUGCACCAAUAAAACGAACAACAUUUUUAUGCUGAACUUGCCUGCACUCAAAUAAACAUGUAGAAUUAGUCAAAUUGGUAACAACUUUUGCUUUGGACAUUGUAAAUGAAAUUGAAUCAUCAAAAUACAUCUGCACCCAUGCAAUUUAGCUAAUUGAAGAACAACACAAGAUGGCAUCUUCCUAGUUUUGAGAAGGGUGUAUCAAACAAAGAAACAAUGUCAUAGGUUUCUAAAGAAACCUGCCUGAGGAUAUAACAGUGCCGUAAUUACAAACUGCAAUGUGCGCCAAAAAUUUUUAACUGCCUAACUACUUCAAAGGCAGGAAAAGCAUGCAUGACUUUCUUUGUUUUUCCUUUCAGAUCCCUUAUUACUACCAGCUUAACCUGCUUCAUUUCUUACUCAGUUACAUGCAAAUUUUCAACUCAAAACUUAACAAAUUGCUAAGCAAAAGAGUUUGGUCAUUCAAGCUUUCAUUUAAACCUCAAGUCAACCACGUUGAAUAAUACAAAGCUUAAAUCCUACCUCGACAUGGGUAAGAUAACAUUAGCGUUCAUACUUAAGCCCCAACCCAACUGAAGCCCCCAACCUUUAGAUAAAGAAGUUACUACAAGUUUUAGUAACAAUUUAGGAUGUCUUAUUGUGGUACGGAUGCUUAAUUCUUGCAAGACAAAACAGCAAAAUAAAUUUCUAUAAUGUAAAGGAGCUAUGGAAAUUAUUUGUAAAUACACCACAUUUACGAGCUUAAACUGGUUAGUUUGCAUCAAUGUUGCUUCUCAGGAGAGCUAUCUACACAAAGAAUAAAUGAAAAAUAUCAACUCAUUUUUCAUCAUUUUAUGACCAUCCAAUGAUGCAUUGACACACUUUCUGGUGCUACUGUACACAGCCUGUCACUCUUUUUCUAAGCUCAGUCCUCAAAAUCUUAAUAAGAACUGAAAAUAACUUAUUGUUGAAAGCGCAAAAUUUCAACAGACCAAACUAUGACAGGACAGUAUUUUGGGGUUUCUCAGCAAAGAUUAAUCAUCAGAGGCUCGCAUCAAUCACAAUCAUGUACCUCAAGAUAGCCACUUCUUGAGCAAAUUCAUCCUCUAAGGUGUCAUUCAAAUGCUCCGAUCUGAGAACCUUAAUUGCAACAUCUUGACCUUUAUAAACUCCUCGAUACCUUUUGCUCAAUUGCAGUUGAGAGUGAGUGACAGAAAAAAGAAAAAAAGAAACAGGAAAUAUCUUUUCUGUUUUCUUGGCUUCCAAUCUAUGCAUAUAGGAAAAAAUGGUCAACUCACAGGUCUCCACACGACCCCGAUGCAAUUUUCUCCCCUAUUUUGAGCAAUCUUGUAUCUAUUUCCCAAUCAACAGGCUUUGCUUCCACAGGUAAAGCUUUUUCCACAGCAUGCUUGGAAUGUGUAGAGCCAGACCAAGAUCCCUAUGGCAGUCAGAACAGGGCAUUGUUUUAAUUUGAUUUUCACAAAGAGGUAACAAAAAGCAUAGGUAUCAUGUUUUAACAAGUGGGCACAUAUCACAAGUAGUGACAACAAAAGAAUAACAAUAUCAUCACAAGGAAAUUGAAUUACCAAAUUUCUAGCUAUUGCUUUUCUCAUUUCUUCAGUCAAGCCUUCUGUAUCCUGACCACAAGAUUGCAAAGUCAGCAACAUUUUGACUCAGCAGAGAUCCCUGUCAUACAAGAAAUAUAAUCACAAUGCUCCUUAUAUGAAGAUUUAACAUGUCCCAUGAGAAUGAACUCAUCCAUAUUGAUAACUCAAGAGAUACUGAUGCUGUGUUACAAGAAUGGUUCUCCCUCUCCGUUGUCAUACCCCGCAAAUCAUGAAGCUUUAGUGGUCAGCAAUGAACAGAAAAACCAACAUUAAGAAGUUUCACAUGAUAAACACAUUGUACAUGCAGCUUAAGGAUACAUCAAUUAUCACUUGUCCAAAAACCAAAAGAUGUAGUACCUAUAAAUGAAAUAUGGGAAAUAUUUAACAAAGGAAUGGCAUCAGCAUAACAGGUUCAACCAAGCAAUCUUCCAGCGCAUUGAGUCUAGAAUAUUAGCUAAAAUGUUAAAACUGAAAUCACAGUUACCUCAGCAGGCCAUCCAUCCACCACAAAAACAUCUAAAGAGUAGCCAUCAGUUGUGGAAAACACAUGAGCUUCACGGAUGUUAAGCCCAAUAUCAGAAAGCAAAGCUGAAAGCUGGAAAGAGGGACACAAAGUUUAAAGUCAUUACAAAAUGUUUAUCAGCAAAAUCAAAGCAACCAUAUCCAGUGCCUAAUGCCUAUAGCAAUUUUCUCAGAUGAAACGUAUGGUUACCCAUUUAUAUCUUAUAUCCAGUAGAUAUAGUAAGCAUGAUUAACCCGUAAGACUUUUCAGCCAUUCCAACAAAUUUAUGCUAAUAUUAUACAGUACCAUUCUCAUUAACCCUGAAAUACGGUAGUAUGUCGCAAAGUUUCUAGGACUGUUUGGCCCACUAAGCAUACUAGGGAUACCACAAUUACACAGCACCAAUUCCCCUUCGUACAAAACACUUGACAAACAAUGAUAUAAGACAUAUUAGAACAAGAUAAAUACGAAUUCUAAUAAUCAUUUAAAUGCACCAAAAAGAAAUAUUAUGUGCAACAUUCCAAAACAAAACUAAAUGAUAUUACAUCAUGUAUCAUAUAAUGCAUAUGUUUGAUUCUUACAUUCAGGGACUGGUGGGCACGUGAGACUUCAGUAACAAAAGAAAAGUGUAACCCUAAUAGUAUCAGAGUUCAAAAUUGCAGCAUAUAUGGCUAUUUUAUGAGAACUAGAUACUUAGCUUAAUGUGUCCCUCGUAUAUGCAAAUAGAUUUGCAUUAUUUUCUUUCGGUUAAUAUCAAUCAGUUAUUUCAACUUCCUAGUCCUAAUAUUACUAUGGUUUAUUAGGAAAAAAAUGCAAUAAUGCAUGUAUACUUGACUCAAUAUACAAAGGUUUUUGUUGCUUAGAAGAGCAGGACAAUCAAGUUCACUACUUUCACUUUUGGAGGCUUAGAACCUCCGGAAUGUCAAAUAUUAGCAUUGAUAUCAUGCAUAUUUGGAAAAGUUAGUGUUGAACUUAAAAUAUAACAAAAAUCUUUUUGAAAUUCAUCAACCAUAAGCUUAUGAGGCAAAAUGGAGAACUAAAAGAUUCCAUAGCCAUACUACACCAAUUUCUUCAAUUGAUAAAUUAUCUCAUUCAAGCAUUAACCUGACUGAGGAGCUUGGGCUUGUCAACAGUUGAAAAUAUUACUUCAUGGAUUGGUAUAUGUGAAACGUCCUGCCUGCACUACAGAAAAGCAAUCAAAUAACACAAAAAUCCUUGGAGUAGAAGUCUAGUAUCAUUUUAUCCAUAUGCUUAAACAGCUAAGGCCAGUGAGACUGUGGGCAAAAGAAAACACACCAAAAUAUUUGAUAAUGUCAAAAGACACUGAAGAUUGCAUUUCAUAAUGAAAAAUAAAUGUUCUGAAAAGUGAAAGUUGUGCCUGGGACCAGACUUCCCAUUUAUAUAAUUGAUAGUGUUAGACACAAAAGCUUUCAUCUAAAAGCAUCCCAAUAUGAUGAUGGAGCAGGCUAGUCACACCAAUACCUUGCUACAUAACAAUUACCAAUGACUAUGACCCACAUAUGAAAGAAAGCAUCGCCGGAAGCUACAAAUCAGAUUUGGGAUCAAAGAAGCCCAGUAAAUAAGGGAGACAAAUUAGCUAUUUGCGCACAUAACAAAAACCAAUAGGUCAUAUACAAGGUCCCCUUUCAAUAUGCAGACCUUGUAACAAUUACCGCAAGGGCACCAUUGGAUAAAAAUUGCAAAAAUGAACGAGCCAAAACUCCAAAAAAUUAAUCUUUCUUCAACAUAGAGAGAUUCACAGAUGAACAGAAAUAUACUUUAAAUCCCUUAAACUCCAAAAUUUAUUAUGGGUAGACUAAAAAGUAUUUUGGUUCAUGUAACAAGGCAAGAAUCGAAAUCUUCCUUUUGGAACUGGUGCACAUGUCGAAAGCUUUCACAUCAUUAAUUCAUCUGGCAUAGAAUUGUAAUGAUGGACAGUUCCUAACUCAAAAGUAAUCAUAAUAUAAUAUUAAAUGAAGUGUUAGAAAUAAUUUUUUGACAAAAUUUUGUUCUUUUCAUCAUUAACACUACUUCUUUUAGCUUCAUAAUUAAUGCAUUUGCCACCUUAUGUUCCAAAAUCUUUUACCAUACGUUACCUGAACAUGGUAAGUUUCUGUUUUUCUUUUUUUUUCAUCAGUCCCAAAAAAUUCUCCCAAUGUUUUGAUAUUCUGUCAUUCCACCGAGAAACUAACCAAUACAGCCCAGUAGAAUCCAACUCAUCUCAUCCGUAGUUAGAUCAAUCUUAAAAAGUUAACCAACAGACAGGAAAGCAAAGUAAAUAAAGUUCGCUUAGAAACUACCUUCUGGUAAAAUCUUCAGCUGGUGUUGCCCUCUCCAUCUCAUUGGGAUACUUUCUAACAUCCAAGUUUAGGUCCUCAAGCUUACAGCAAGGUUCAAAGUCAUUCACAGAAUUCCUGUUCUAAUUUCAGUAAAUGAAAAAAGCCAAAGAAAAUCGGGGGAAAGGGGUGAAGUGCAACACACAUAGACAAAAUGCAAUCUUGUUGGAUGAAACAAACUGCAAGGCAAGUAUUACAUAUCUAUCAUCCAAUAACAAAAACAUUGAAGUGUAAGACAUGUCAACUCUUACGAAUAUGCUCAAUCAACUGAAACAAUAAAACCAUAAUAGCAGUUUAAACACACCUAUCAUGCAGUUGCAACUUCCCGUCAUUAUCAUCACUACCAGGUGGCUUUGCAUUUGGAUAAACACUUAAGAUUUGUCGAUCCUCAGUAUCAUCUCCCUUGGUCCAAAAAUUCUUUCCAGAGUAAUGGAGGGCAGCAAGAACAUGAAAAUAAGAGACAAGGGAUAAGACUUGAAAAAAUUAACCAAAUCAAACAGGGAAUUUGUCGCUGCUGUCAUUGCAACAAGGUGAAAGACUACUAAAGAGAGAGAGUUGGGGCAAAAGUCCAAGGAUCACCAAGGGAAAGCAUGAAAAUAAGAUCACUACAACUAAGAAGAGAGAGAGGUACAUAUGUCACAUUUAAUUCUUCUUUGUAAACAAUCUUCAAAAUUAAAGUAAAUAACUCUUUAUUUAGGUUUAUGUUAUAGAUAGAAAAACGAUUUAAGACCCCAACUGGAAGAAACAAAGAAAAAGUAGACUUUAGUUUUACAUUUAAAAAAAAAAUCUCCAGUGAGAAGGGAUUGAAGUAGCAUUUCAGCAUUUCAAAGUUACUCUCACACUCAUUUUGUGUGAUUUUUGUGCUUUCUUGUGACAAGCGAGAUUAAAGAACGUGGCAAACAUCAUAAAAAUUUUCAUGGAUACCCUUCACUUUGUAUUUUCAAAUGAUUGGUAUAUGUGGCACUUUCAACAGUAACAGUAGUUAUUGCACCAUAAUGGUAUUUUCUUAUACAAUUUCACCAAAGUCUUAACAAAUCCUUCAGAUUAAGGUACUUAAACUGCAAAAUCUACCACAUACUGCAAAAGUAGAGUUCAAUCCAGCGUCAAGCAUAUGUAAUAUUCUAACUACUCAGAUACAUCAUAUUGACACAGAUUAAAGAAUUGUCAUAUAUUGUGUCUCUUUGGGUAGAAAACUGGUAAAAAUGAGAUCGAUAACAUUAUAGAUAGUGCAAAGUAUCACAAUCAAUAGUUCGAGCACUGAGAGUGGAAUUAUAGCCCUCAUUAAAUCAAGGGAUGUAGUUCAACCAAAAAAUGGGAAUUAAAGACCAUGCCAAACAUUAAAGGAAACAAAUAGAAGGGUGAUGCUUACCAACCACAAGUGAAAAACAAGAGAGCAACACAUCUGACAAGCAGUGUUACCUCUAAAAACCGAAUAUGGAAAACGGGACAAUUUUCAGGAUCUCUUGCCAUAGAAAGAAGCUUCUGAUGCAGCAAUACAUCUUCCACUCUAUCCAUAUUAAUGUCCAAUCCAUAGCUAGAAACAACAAAAGCACAAGAAAGUCAAUAAAUUCCUUAGACGACAACUCUUAUUCUCUUAGACCAGAAGAAUGCCUUCAUGCUCUUGGUGACCAUCAUUUAGAACCCUUCCCAAUAUCGGUACUUCGGUACUUCAUAAAAUCACAAUUUCAACACCCAAUGUAAAUGAAAAAAAUUUAGCAACUCAUGUUUCCAAAAACUUGAUACACACAUACACCAUAAUCUAAAAGAGAGUAUAACAGAAAUCCAUAAGCCGCAUCAUAUAACAUUCUAAACAAAGAUAAGACAAUCACAAACCAUUUAGGCUAGUUCAAAUAGACACCAACUUCUACAGCAAAAGCACACACAUGGCCAAGCCAUAAAACAAGUCAAUAUCUAUCUAACUAAGAUGAACAAAAUAAUAUCUUUAUAAAGUUCAAUAAUUGUUAAGUAAUGCCAAUUAUCACCUUUUGCAUUUUAUACAGAUGACACACUAGGCUAUAUUUGAACAGCUUCGUUGCCACAUUACUACAAAAUGUCGAAAACGAAUUCAACCCCAAAACUGCCUUUCGCAUCACAAUUAAGCAGCAAUCAGCCACAAUUCAACAAUUCCAAUUUUCAAAAAUUACAAAAAAAAAAAAGAAGGGAGAAGGAGAAUAAAAACAACAAUACUAAUCCAAAACAGAAAACCGAAACCAAUUCCACACAAGCAUUGCAUAAAUACUUUUAAAAAAAUCUCCACAUAACACCCGCACUAUGUGUCAGUGUGUGACUGCGUGUACCCUUAUAAACACUAAAAAAAGAAGUUGAACAAGCUAAAGAAAAAGCAUUAAUUCAUGAAACAACUAAAAAUAAAGAAGAAAAAUACCUAGCAGGCAAGCUGUUGAAGUGAACAUCUAGCUGCUCCCGCAACUCCGGAUUAGAAACCGCCUCAUCAUUUCCGCUCUCCACUAACCGAUUGUAAACAUCAUUUCUUAUAUCAUAAGUUCCGAAACCACCAAAACUCCUCGCCGGUGAAGAGCUCUCACCGACUCCUUCUACCAAAUCCAUAUACAGUUUUAAAAAAUUAAAAAAACAAAAAAAAAGGAAAAACCUCCUUUUCUUCAAAUUUCUAUACGCAUAUUAGCUCAAAUUUGCUAUUUUCGAAUAAAUUCUUUUUACAUAUCUGUUGCGUGGGAAAAUUCAUCACCAGUUGAGGCUUAUGCUAAGGAAGAAGAAGACUGAGGUGAGGAUCUCUGUUGACGGGUAGAGUGGGAAAGAGUUAGAGAGUAAAGAAAGGGGAAGGAGGGGGUGGGAUGAAAUUUUAGUAAAAGCAGAGGGUAUUUCUGUCAUAGCAUAGUUUUGAUGUAAGAAAGUUGAGGGCAUUUUUGUCAGGAUAGUUUUGACGUAACAAGAAAAUGGAGGUCUUUUCCCGGUUUUGUCCCGGUAGGACGAGUGGUUUGUGGGGUAAAUAAUUUAUGUGUUUUUAAAGGUGCAGUAGUGCGUGAGAGAGGAAACGAGACCACGAGGCGUCAUUUUAAUUCUUCAUUCUUUUUUUUUUAUUGUAUUAAAAAAGUGGAUAGGGAUAGGAUUGAAGGCACAUCACAUAGGUACGGUUUUUGCCAACAGCCCACGGGACUGUUGGUAACCCAAAAGACAUCUUAAAUCUUGGAAAGGUGCGAGGUCAAUGGUUCAAUCCUUGCCUCUCAUCAAAAUUUAUCAUAAUUUGUGGCGAUUUUAAUUGAUCUUUAUCGAUGGAAUCUAUACUUACAUCGAGUCUCAUUCUCCUCCCCCUAGAUUAGGCUAGAUUAGAUUAUAGAAAAUUUAUCGUUGCGCAAAAAAAAAAAAAAAAAAGAAAAACUAUGUUUUUUUUUUUUGGGAUAGUUUUUGUGAUUGUGUUGGAUAUGUUUCUAAUGUAUGGUGCAUGUGGCCUUUUAUGAAUUUGGACAAUAAGAUGCUUUCUUGAUGAUUUGAAAGGGCACUACGGAAUUUAAGGUACAAAAAGUUUGAAGUCAUUUGAAGAAUGGAUAAUGUUGGUGGAAAAAAGCAUAAUGUUUGUUUGGAGUGUAAUAAAAUUUGGUAAAGUUGAGAAUUUAAGUCACAGAAUUUGAUCGAUUUCGUCAAGCUAUGCUUGGACUUGGCUUGAUGAUUUGACGUUGAGAUAAAGAUUCCUUUUACGUUUGUUUACUGUGUUUGGACUUGGCUUGAUGAUUUGACACAGAGAUAAAAAUUCGACCUAUGUUUGUUUACUUGAGUGGAGUUGAAAUUGAAAUACUAGUUCAAUUGAUUAUUCACAGCAUGAAAUAGAUGUAAUAAAAUUGAAAUUUAUAACGAUCAACUAGGUUAACAAACUCGCAAGUUAUUUGGGUCCGAUCGUGCUAUGUACUUGAGUAGUUCGAGUCAAACUUGGCCGAAGUUUAGGCCUAAUUAAGUCCCAAGCACAAGUAAACCGAAGUUGAAUUCUAAUGUUUAGAUAGUAAAUUAUUUGAGAUAAUUUUAUGAAAAAAUACUGUAAUAUUUUUUUAAUGUGAAAUAUAUGAGAUAAAAAAGAUGAUUGAAAAAUGCGUUGAUAGUGCAAGUAAGUCAGUGUGUGUAAAUAAUGUAGAAAUAACGUGUAAUCCAAACAGUGUAGCUACAACGUCUUCUUUUUAGCCACGAGGGAGUGACGGAGUUUUACCUAAAAAGUUAUGAUUUUGUAUACGUAGUAGUAGAGUGGUAAAUUUCAAUGGAUGUCUCUUUUCCUUUUUAUCUUUUUUCACAUGUAGGUAAUAAAAAUUUCAAAUAUUACUGGUAAUAGAACAUAAACCAAAGUGCAAAUAUUUUUAACUAUGUAGAAUUCUACAUAGUUGGUUUACCACUAAUAUAAAAGUUUCUGAGAAAGUAAAGCUGAAUGGAUUGAGGUUCAAUAAUUAAAGUCACAGGCAACGUUAUGGAAUUGAAAGUGGAAAAUUAAAGAGCUCAUAAAAAUCUUGAAUUCAUUGGCAAUUAUUACGUAGUCAGGCGGCAGUUUUGUUUGGAAAUGCUUAUGAUGAUAUCACCCGCCGCCGUUUCUACACCCAAAACCGCGUUCCAAAAAUUUGUGUAUAAAAUAAAAAAUAUAUGUAUAUAAAUAUAAGCUUCUAAAAAUAAAAAUUACGUAUAAAUUUACUUUCUUUCAUUCGUUUACUGCAAACAAUCUUAGGUCAUGCUUGGAUUGCUUGUUUCUGUCGGAAAAUAUUGUCGUUUUCCGUGAUCACAUUUCCCUAUCACAUUUUUCUCUCACAUAUAUCGAAUCACUACAGUAAUUUUUCCAUGAAAAAUAACGGAAAAUGUAAUCCAAACACAACUUUAGCAUGUAAAUAAUAAUAUGUUCAUUCCACCACACUAUGCACCUCAUUGUUUAAAUGAUUAGUUAGUACAUAAAAGAGACUUAGUGCAUGUUUGAUAACAUAAAAAAGUGCUGAAACUGAAUUCAUUCAGACAUUCAGAUGUUGUGGGUGUUUGAUAAAUAAAAAUUCACCUGCUGAACUUAUUAAGUGGUGCUGAAUUUGUAUGUAUUUUUUUCAGCACAAGAAUCGUAGCUGAAUGCUUAAUUUGAUAAGAAUCAAGAGAUUUACUUCAACUACUUUAUUUUAUCUACCAAAUAUAUCCCUGUUUGUUAAUCACAUUCAAAAUCCUUAUUUAAUUAAACAACCUAAUAUUUCUUAUUCAAAAUCCUUAUAUAAUUAAACAAAACAACCUGAUAUUCUCUAUUCAAAAAUUUUUUUUAACAAUAGUAUUUUUUUGCAGUAAUUUUCAUCCACAAACAUUUAUAUUUUGAUUUUUUUUUGUGCAGAUAAAUAUUAUUUAUGUGAUGCAGCUUAUCCACACACACGUGGCUUUAUGACACCAUAUCGAAAUAUUAAAUAUUGGUUGUCUGAUUUUCGAAAUGCUUCUCGUCCAAGAUCAAAAGAAGAACGCUUUAACCAAGCACAUGCAAGAUUGAGAAAUGUAAUUAAACGUGCUUUUGGAGUAUUAAAAACUCAUUUUCCCAUUCUCAAAACGAUGAAACCAUACCCUUUUCCCACACAAAGAAAUAUUGUCAUUGUAUGAAUUGCUCUUCACAAUCAUUGUCAUUUUCAUACCUAACAAUUUUAAAUUAAUUAAAUCAUAGGUUCUAUUUCCUUUUUGGAUUAAAAGAUAGAAAGACAAAAUUGUACAAUUUAGCUUAUUAAGUAUUAAGUUAUGAAUAUUUAUCAAACAGUAUAAAUAGAUUCAGCAUUAAGAUUCAGGCAUUCAUAUAUCUCUUUUCAGUGCUUAAAAUUCAGCAAAUUAAUUAUUUAAGUAUUCAGAAUUUGGAAUUCAGAUUCAGUGUUAUCAAACGGAGCCUUAAUUGUUCAAUAAUUUAAUGGGUAAGAUGCAGCUUAUCGCGGAUAAAUACCACAUCUUAAAGCAUUUUCAAUUAUUGUUAUUUUUUUAAGUAGGGGAGGAGUGAGAUUUGAGAAUCGAAGAGGGAAAAGAGGAAUUAGAACUCAGGACCUCAACUUUAACAACUAAAUCAGGGCUUCCUUGAUUAAAAAUAAAAAAAAUGUCUUCAAUUGAUUAAAUUUGUGAAAUUGCCCUUUAAAUUCUAGAAAUCCUAAGGUUACUGAUGUGGAUCUUUCAUGCUAAGUUGGCACAUUGGAAAAAUAUCAGUAAAUAUAAACUAUAUUCAAUUUUGAGAAAUAACAUAUUGGCAUAUUGAUAUGGGAAUAACAUUAUGGAAAAUUGAAUUAGAGAAUUCAAGUGAUACAAACUCCUAUAAAAUAGUGAAAAUUUUAUGAACUUAGUUAUUAUGCAAGUUUCUUAAACACACACACACAGAAACACACAUAUAGAAGAAUUUUCCUUCACCAAAAGCAGAAAAAUUAGGAAAAAAACUCAAAGAAGUUUAAAUUCGACCUAUCGAAGGCGAUGGUAAGGUUUAGCCAUUCUGUUUUUUUUUUUUUUUUUUUGGAAGGGGAAAAAAGGGUUUGGCCAUUCUAGUGGUACAAAAUGGUGACUGAGUUUAUAAGGACCCUUAAUUUGUUUAAUUAAUUUCUAGGAUGUGUCCAGAGUCUUUAAACUAUUGGACCAAACAUAGAGCCAUCACCAAAUAAAAAUUUGGACCCAAGUUUUAGGCAUCACCAAAUCAAAUAUUUCAUCAUUUAUGUCACAAUCUCGGAGUACUAUUUUGUGCUUAACCACGUAAUAGUUAGUGACCUGCAGAUCAAAUGGAGUUGGUAGCAUAUUUUUAUAUGAUCUAAUGCAUGAUAAUAAAUCCGAGGAUAAGGCAUAUACCUUUUGCGAAGUUUAUCCUUUGAUCUAGUUAAAGUCAUCAAUAAGGACAAGUGAUGAGUAUUUGUUACUAACAAAGGAAUUAUAUAUCUCUCUACUUUUUGUAUCUUUCAAGGUAACUCAAUCUCCAAACUUUGUUACUAAAUAUGAGAUUCUUCCCACAAGUAAUAUAUAAUUAGAAUGUGAAGGAACAUAUAAAAAAGCUUAGGAUGCGUUAAGUAUGAAAACUGAAAUCUGAAGUUGGAAUCUGAAUUCAUUAAGUCGUUAAAUUGUGAAGUACUAAACACUAACUGAUAAGUGAAUAAUUUAUCAUUUAUUUUUAGGAGUAAAUUUUGUCUAAAAAACUCAGUGCCACUUAAAUAAUUCAAAUAUUCAAUUUUUAGUUAUCAAAUGUGUUGAAUAUGUUAAGAUCUGAAUCCACUAAUUGCUAAAUUGAGUAAUCAAAUAGGAUUUUAGUUAAAGAACAUUUUUCGUAGAACCAGUAGAACCAAAAGGUAGACAAGAAAUAUCGUCCAACAAAUUUGCUCAACUCAUUUGAUAGUAAAACGUUUAGAAAAGUCCAAAUUAAAUCUGCCAAACCAAUUUCGUCCACGCACUAGAGUAAUGCACGGAAUUUCUAGAUACACUUCAUUUAAAAUUUAGAGUAAAUGUUAUAUAUAUAUAUAUAUUGUCAGUCAAUGUAUACAUUAUCACAGUUAGAUUAAUGACGCAUAAGUUAAAUUUGAAUUUUAAAUUCAUGUCAAGUUUAGUUGUCAUGUAUCUAAUAUUAGUAGUGCAUAUACUGUCAGUUUAUAUAAAAUUAAUCCUAAAAGUUAUAGUAUCAACUAGACAAAUGCAACAUUCCAAAUUUCAAACUUUGUCCUCAUUGAAAACGAUAAAUUCUCUAUGUAUCAAAACCGAUGUUUAAGCUAUACUAAACUUGUCUCCAGAACAGAUACUAAGUUGUACAGUGUAAUUUUUAUAUUUUUGCAACUCUAUUAAACCUAAUAAUGUUUUAGAUCAGAUAACAUGUUCUAUGUAUUUUCUACCAUUAAUACAACUAUCUUUAUUAAGCAAAUCGUGAUGGACGAUUUUCACCUGGUUUAUUAAUGGAUUUUUCUAACGAAUAUCCACUGGGCACUCACUAACACAUCUAACAUUCACCUAAACUAUCAUAUAUAUACAUAUACUAACAAUUAUUACCUUCCCUUACAUUUACAUACUUUUCCUAUUUAAUCUUACAUAUCCUCUCUUGUAUUUAUUUACUUUCUCUAAUUAAUUUUACAUUUCCAAAGAUAUCACACCUGAAAUAUAUCUUAACAAGUAUCCUAUGGGCACCUGUUAAAUAGACCCUUUAUUAAUAAUAUUGGCUUCUGUUUUAUAAAAAAAAAAAAAAAAAAACUUGUAUCCAAGUAUUAACUAAUGUCCAAAAGAAGAAAAUUCCAAAACUGUACCAUAUAUAUAAUAAAACAGAGCCAAUAACGAGAUGCUACCAAAAGAUGCCUGCGUUACCAAAGAAACGACUUGACUUCUCCUAUAAAAAUAACGAGACCUGAAUUCUAAUUAAAGUUGGAGAUUAUCCAAUUAAUUGGACUGAAAAUCCUUUUUGCAUAUUAACAAUUUCUGCCCUUGGAAUUGUGAUUCACUAUUUUCUUUUGUGACAACUGUUUUUCAAAGAAACUAAGAUAGCAUUAUGAGUUCAGUAAAGAGGAAAUGCAGGGUAGAAACAAGAAUUCAUGGGCCUAUAGUCAUUUUCUAUUUGAUAAAAUGAGUGAUUCACAUCACUAUGGAGAUAUAGUUGAUUAUUUAGUGGUCAUAUAGAUGAUAUUGGAUUGGUGAAAUAUUAGCGAUAUAUCUAAUGUAAUGAAAUUACCACUCAAUUAUCAAAUAUUGAUUUAAUGAUCAUCUUAAUAACAUGUAUUAAGUCAAAGAUCAAUAGCAGAUUACUUAAGAGAUAUCCACGCGCGCGUAUUCUGAAGAAUAUUAUAAGACCUCACUUUUGGUAUCAUAUGCAUCAAAUUUGACAAUGGAAGGCAUAUACUAGAUAUAUGUGUACACACACAGACACAUGGAUGCACGCACACACAUAUACAUACAUACAAAUAUAUAUACAUUUAUAUAUACACACACAUACAUACACAUAUAUGUGUGUAUAUGUGCGUAUGUAUUUUUUAAUAUUUCGUUGUCACUCUUUAAACUAUUCUGUAAACACACACAUAGACACACAGACACACAGACACACACGUACACAUGCACAUAUACACAAACAAAUAUAUGUAUGUGUAUAUGUGUAUGUAUGUAUGCAUUUUCUAGUAAAGUAUUUCUUCUACUAAAUAGAAGCCCACUAGAUGCUUCACUGUCACUCUUGAAAUUAUACUAGACCAAACCAUUGAGGAUCUUCUUCUUUCUGCUCGUGUUCACACUGGUUCAUUUUGUGAAUGAAAACCCUGUGUCCAUGAACCAUACCUUUAAUCAAUUAAAUUUGACAUCUACUACUUCAAAAGCCAUUUUCUGCUUCUUUGAUGGAGGAAUAAAACUAAAAAUAACUGCAAUUCCACUUCUGGAUAAUGACAGAUAAAAGUGGAAGGCUGGUGCGACAAAUCGAUGCUGAACAUAAUUGAUCAGAUUUCAUUCUCACGAGUACUGUUUUCGCUUUAUAAGAUACUACUGCCCCAUGUGUUUAUUAAAAAGAUCAUUGUCACCCUUAGAACUCAGAACUGUGAAUCCGCAGGUGAUUUGACAUAUGCGGGCUUAUAGUUGAUAGGCAUGGCCAUUAAUGGGAUUUUCUUGAAGGUUUGGAUCAACAUUUGAAAAGGGUUUUACCUCUGUAGUAACAUCUAUCAUACUCUAAUCCUAAGAAAAAGAGGUUUUUUUGUUUUUUUACCUGUUUUCUUGAAUAAAAUUGUUACAAGGGAGGGGCAAGUAAUAGAGGGCAGAAGAAUUGAACCUUGUUCAGGGAUGAAACGUAAAGGCUCUUAAUUCCUAAUAUAUUCGACUCCCAAUAUGAUAUCUUGGUACAUAUGCUGUACAACCAAAUCAUACAAGUUGUUAACACUUUAAGCAUGAACUUUGAGUGUGUGUGUGUGUGUGUUAAAAUUGGAGAUUGCAGCUCUAAAUUUUGCUAUUAAGUGAAUGACUAUUCCAAUAAGAUAUAUCGAACGUAGAGUUGAUAUCUUGGGUGAGUUUACUACUACUACUUCCCUGCUUCCACUAAUUGAGUUAAUACAUAUGCUUGAAAACUGCAAUCAACAAAAAUUUGUUAAACUGCUAUUUGUACCUCGUGUCAUAAUAUGUACAAGUAAGCUUAAAAGUUCUUCGCACAAGGACUGAUUCCUAGGAUAAAAUUUCAUUUGAGAUUUAGCCAAUUAAAGGGAAAAAAGUUUUAAAAAAUGAAAAAAAAAAAAAACUUUCGAGAUGUUAACUUUUUAUGGUUCAUCACAACAGUUCAUUCUCUUUAAAGGUAAAUAUGAGGGGGGAAAACGAAGAGAAGAGAAGUAAAUUUAUCUAUCUAAAUCCAAAAAUGGAUGUGAAAAAAAGGAAAGAAGGGUCCAUGGUAAAAGCAGCCACUAGUUGAUUAGUGCAUGCACCUUUCAACUCAUGGAACAAGGGUUUUAGAUGGCCUAAAGGUCCUCACAUCACGCCCACAAUGUCCUCUCAGGGUGCCAUGGGGCGCUGUUGUUCUCAUAUUCUUCUGAACAAUAAUUGCAUUUUAUCCAAAACUUAUCCUUAUUUGGGGGACCCUGCACUAGACACAACCCACUAAAUAAUCAAAUGAUAUUCCCUUUGAUAGGAUGCGUAAUUAUUGUUGAUAAAUUUAUAAAUAUUUUUCCUUGAUUUUGGUCAAAUAUUGUAUUAAUUAGUAGAUUUUACUCAUAUUUAGUUAUUAGUGUUAAUUAUAGAUAAGUGAAGCAAAAAAAUAGUUAAAGGAGGCAAUUUUUCGGAAGAUUAUGAACCAAUUUGGCAUGGCACGGUCAAUACAUGCUGUCAAGUCUGGGAGGCUCGGGAUUUUUCUUGCCUGUGGGGAUUUCUUAGUUCGAGUUGAACUCCGUGCAGAUUUUGACCGAAAAUUUAGAAAAUAUCUUUAUUAGUUAUAGUAUUUGAUUAGGAAACAAGGGAUAUUAUCUUUUGUAGUUUUCCCUUUCCAAUUAGGAAAGGUACUUUAUUUCUUUAAUAGGUACAAUUUAGGAGAUAAAAUAGGAAGAGGGUCCGCUGGCUAUAUUAGUAGAGUAGUACUUCCGAGGAAAAACAAGGAACUUUGGCUCGUGAUUGAUUAGUCUUGGCAGGAACAAGAAACAAAAGGCUAUGUUCCUUUUUGGUUUCUUAUCGUCGAAUGUUCAUGAAACUUUUGUCAAUGAAAUUGUUUGAAUUAUUCCCAACGAUGAGCGGCUAAUUUCUUAUUCUAGUCAAAGGGUAACAAAGGAUUUAGUUCAACUACAACUGAGAGAUCUAAUUAUUUUUAUUUGUUUCUUUUAUUCGUUAAUAUUCGUAUAUUUUCUGAUUUAACUUCUCAUAACUGUUUUAUUAUUUGAAUAUCAAGGGCCCGAUAUUUAAUUCAACCUAACAAUUUAUUACCAAUUAAGACAGUUAAAUUCGUAAUUAUUUAAUUAUUUUAAAUUAGUGGCGACUAGCACGAUUGGUUUCGUGUUAGGAAAACAUAUAGUCUAAUUUAAAUAAACCCUGAUAGCGUGCUUUAUUGAUUAGAACAAGGUUUUUUUAGUUUUUAAUAUAAUCAAGAAAUUAAAUUCUAUGGGCGUACCUAGUAUUGUUUCUUAGUUAGGAGAAUAUUAACGGGUGUACCUUAAUUAUCGAAAAAGUAAGAAAAAAUUGAUUGUCAUCACUUGUUUGGCAAUUAUAACCUGUUUAUUAACAAAUAGAUGAAAUAAUUAUUGCAUCAAUGAACAGUUGUAUGAACUACUUCUGAAGUUAUUUCCUUGGUUAGAGUUUGUUUAUUAUUGAUUUAAAGUUAAUCUAUUUCAGUGUAAUUAUUUUUAUUUACGGUAAUUAUUUAUUUUAAUUUCAAUUUCUCAUACCUCCGAUUUGAUUUUUGCUUGGAAGGAAAUAAAUCAUCCAGUCUCUAAGGAGACGACCUUAUUCACCGUUAUAUCUAAAUUUAAGUUUUUAGAGUAGAAUUUUUAAUUUUGGUGGUUUGACAUCCAUCAAAUUUUAGCACCAUUGUUGGGAACUGGUGCCUUUUCGAUUUAUUUUCUUCAAAAUUUUUAUUUUUAUUUUUCUUUUUUUUUUAAACUAAUCUAUGACUGCUAAUAUUUAAUAUUUUGAUAAUAGAUUGGAUUUUAUUCUUAGGAGGGUUAAUGAGAUUCGUGUCUCUUCUAAUGAUCAAUAUUUAGAUACACUAAUCUUUCUUGUGAAAAAAUUGGAUGUUGCAAUUUGUGAAAUUUGUUAUGUUUUGAAUCAUGCAAAUCGCAACGAAUUUUCUGUGCCACACCCUGUCUCACACCCUAUCUCACUUCUUCUAAUCUUGCCAAGUGUCCCUUGAUAAACCAAACUCUCAAACAACCCAAUCCGAACCAUGUUAAAUUGAUUAAUCGAUUACCUGGGUAGAGAAACUCAAUCUCUAUAACCAAAACCGAAUAAAAUAAAACUAUCUCACAAAAUCACAAUUUAUUUAGGGAAAAAAGCCCUAAAACUCAGUUUAACAUCUGGCCUCUCGUCAUUUUCUUCAUCAUCUUCACCAUUAUCUUCCAAAAAUCACUCACAAUUCACACACACAAAUUGAUGAUCCGUUGCACACAAAUUGUUCAAACUUGAAAUAGACAAAUUGAUGAUCCGGGUUAGACUAUCUUUCUCACGCCCACAAACACUCCCGCAGUAGACUAUCUUUCUCCCCCAUUCACACACAUAAAUUUUGCAGACUAAAAUCUAGCAGGAAAAUUCAAGAUUUUUUAGAGGAACCCAAGUUUUAUUUUCCUUUUUCCUUGGUGGGUUUCUUCGAAUACCAGAUCUUCUUGUAGAAAUAUAUUUAGUUUUAGUGUAAAUUUGUACUGGGUAAUGGGUACACAAUUCUUUAGAACUAUGGGAGAAGUAACAGUCACAAUUCUUUAGGCUGUGGAGUUGUUGGCGGUGCAUUCUGGAGGGAAGCCCUGAGGAAAACAUUUGGCAUCUGUACAAUAAUUGUAUAUCAUGUAAUUCUGCUGCACCCAUUUCAAUCUGGCUUGACUAGAGGCAUCAAGUUCCUGAGAGAACCAUGGCUUUGUGGAGUUUGAUCCACAAGAAGAUUUCCCAGAGCUCCAUACACAAGCAUUGGCCUUGAAAUUUCUCAAGGAAGCAGUAAAGGGAGACUGUGACCAGUCAGUCUUGACAAGGCCGCCUCUUGUGGCCCAGUCUUCUGCAUCCCGUAGACUAGCGUAUACCUUCAUCGGUUGGUUCUUCGGAUAUGGAAUCCCCCUUGCUUCCAAAUUCUAGUGCGGGAAAAAUCUUCAAAUACCAGAUCUUCUUGGUGGGUUUAUUCAAAAUUGCGCAACGGAAGUUCAACUGGGUUUGUUUCAACGGUGAAAAUGAUGACGAGAGGACAGAUGUUAAACUGAGUUUUAGGGAUUUUUCCCUUGAUAAAUUGUGAUUUUGUGAGAUAGUUUUUAUUUUAAUCGGUUUUGGUUAUAGAGAUUAAGUUUCUCUGCCCGGUUAAUCGAUUAAUCAAUUUAACAUGGUUCGGGUUGGGUUGUUUGAGAGUUUAGUUUAUCAAGAGACACUUGACAAGAUUAGAAGAUGUGAGACAGAAUAUGACACAGAAGAUCCGUUGCGCAUUCAAACAACAAGUGCCCCGUAUUUCAAGAUGAUAUGAGUACUCCAAUUAAUACUUUUGGAGCUUUCCCAACCCUGUCUCAAAUGUGGUAUAACCCUUAUUCAAUCAUGUAUAAUCAAGAAUGGUGAAAUAACUCCAACUUUAAUUAUGCAGCAAGGUCAAUAGGUUUUCAAUAGCAACAAUCAUCAUCCACGUCAGGUAUGUCUUUUGAAAAAAUUAUUGAAUUACUAGAUACUAACACAUAUCGAUUUCAACAGGAGACAUAUCGAUUUCAACAGAAGACAAAAAUAAGAAUUAGAAAUCUGGCGGAUCAAAUGUGUCCAUUAGCAUCUAUAGUGAGGCAAUUGGCUUCUCCAAUUUGUGAAAAAUUGCCAUCACUGACCAUUAUCAACCUGAAAAAAGAUGAGAGCGUAAUUAUCCCAACAAGUGAUAAAGAACUACAAGAUUCUCAAGAAGAAGGAUCUAAAAAUGCAGUUGAAAAGAAAGAAAUGAGACUCCAACAUUAAAUUGCUCUUGUGAACAAAUCCAGUGAACAAUUCUCAAAUGUUGUGACACCUCCCUUAUUUCCUAACCAACAUUCUCCUAACUCUUAUUCUGUGAUUUCUAUUACGGAGAUUGAUUUUGUUAUACCAAAAAUUUUUGAGUUUCAUAGGAGGAGGAAUAAAUUAGAAAUUGCAAUGACCAAAUAUCUUGAAUUGAUAAUUACUCAUGAUGGAGGAGUGAGUGAAGAAUUAAAAUCAUUACUUACUUGUUUUGAACCAUCUACUAGUCAAUAAAAGAAAAUAACUCAUAUGCUUAAAGAUUACUCUAUUUACGAAAGUUAUCAGGAUUACAUAGAGAAUGAAACAUUGAAACGAACUAUACGAUUUUAUCCUCCUUGAACAAACAUGAUAAUAUCUAAUAAAAAAUAUUAAAGAAAAGCGCUUAUUGAGAAGCAAUCUAAUUAAUUUUUAGUUUAUUUUUAUUACUUUUAUUUUAGAUUUCUUGUAUUUUAUGCGUUAAAUUUUAAUUUUGUUGUUUUAGUAGACAAAAGACUACUACGAGACAAGGCGCACCUAUGCCUAACUAACUCAUUAGUUGUAAAGACGUGUUUAAAAAUUUUAGAAGAUUACUGGACAACAAGACGUGCCCAUAUUUAUGAGUUGUGAUGGCAUUGAUGAGUUGAAAAUGUUUAAUCAAAAGAUUCCUUAUAUUUUAGGCAUGCCCGCAUCUAAAAUGAUUGAAGAAUUUGGUGGCUACUUUGCUUCCAUUGGUUUCACCCCACCUUUUGCUCCACAUCCUUAGCAGUGAGCUAGGUGCCCUCCUCCAUGUGCAAGAAAGUUUCAUUGUCCCUUUUACUUCAUCUUUUGAUAUUUAUUUCUUACAUUGGGAACAAUGUAAGGAUCAGAUGUGAGGAAAUAGUAUACUAGUAAAGUGCAAGUGUAACCAUUAUGACAUUUUUGUUGAAAUUUUUGUUCGAAAUUUUCGAAUUUUAUCCAAUUUUUUGUCAAAUUUUGUGUAUUUUUGUGGUUAUUCCUGAUAAUCAGUGGCUAGAGUCUCAAAUCUGACUAUUGUUAAGGUUUAUGAACUAAUGUGUUAAGUAUGAUGUGGUAAUAUCUAAAUGUGUCUCUCUAGUCAAUAUUUGAGAUUUUGUAACUUUUACAAUUUUUGGUUAAAUUUUUUAGGCAUUGUAAAUAUUCUUUUGGUAUUUUUCAUGUAAAUUGGUUCAACUAUUAAUCUCAGUUCUCUACAUUUAGAAAAUGAAGUGGACUUGUGUGAUUUUAAUUUUAUUUUGGUACUUAUUUGUGAAUUAUAUUUGGCUAUACUACACUAGUUAUCAUUAUCUAGUAACUGAAAAUUUUCACCACAAGUGUCGACUUUCGAGUCAAAAAAUAAUGAUAGUCAUGAGUAUGUGGAUCUUAAAUAAUGAGAGUUGAGUAAUGGGACUCUUUCAUUUGAUAGAUGUUAGAGUUUGCAUCAAAAAAUUUGAAUGGCUAACGAUUAAGGAUUUUUCCCUUGAAAAGAAAACAAACCUUAAGUGUAGGGAUAUUUUAGAAAAGAAAAAAAAAAGUUGUGCUAAUAGUGAAAAGUGAAAAAGUGCAUAUGAAAGUAAGAGUAUGUGAAUAGUUAUGUUAGCCUGCUGAUCCAAGAGUUUUAAGAUUGAGAUUUUAUUUAAUAGUCAAACCAUUUGCUAAGGAAUGAUAAUUGAGUAUUUUAUAUUCUUAAAUUAGUUAGUCGAAAAUUAGAAGAGUCCCUAGUUUUAAAAGUUAAUCAGAAAGAUAUUUCUUGAAGACUAACCACUAAUGCUUGAUAUAUGUAUUAAUUGUACCUUGGCAAUGAGUGACUUAGGCAAUGGUCAUUGUUUGAACUUGAUCGCCUGAUUGGUUAUUCUCAUGCUUGAGUAAGUAUGGGGGGAAUUGAUAGGGUGCGUAAUUAUUAUUAAAUUUAUGAACAUUUUUUCUUGAUUUUGGCCAAAUAUUGUAUUAAUUAAUAGAUUCUACUCAUAUUGGUUAUUGGUAUUAAUUGUGGAAAAGUGGAAAAAAAAGUAGUUAAAGGAGUCAAAUUUUCGAAAGACUGAACUAGUUUAGCGUGGGUGCGAUCAAGACAUAUCAAAUCUGGGAAGCUCGGAAUUUUUCUUGUGCGUGGAGGUUUCCUAGUUCGAGUUGAACUCCGAGCAGAUUUUGGCUGAAAAUUUAGAAAAUAUCUUUAUUAGUUAUAGUAUUUGAUUAUGAAACAUGGGAUAUUAUCUUUUGUGGUUUACCUUUUUCAAUUAGGAAAUGUACUUUGUUUCUUUAAUAGCUACGGGUCCGUUUGGAUUCCUUGUUUUUGGGUCUGUUUUUGAAAAACUGUUUUUCACAUUUCAAAUGCUACAGUAAAUGUGUAUUUCAAAAACAACUCCAAAAACACCAUAUCCAAACAAUAUAUCAAAAAUAACUCCAAAUACAUAUUUAACAUGUUUAUUUCAAUUUGUAUAUCUCAAUUAUGUAUAGGAUAUAUAUAUUAUAUUAAUUUAAAUAUAUUUAUUUAUACAUAUUAUAAAUAUUUUAUUUUAUAUAAAAUAUAUUUUUAUAUAUUUAUAAUAUAUUUAUAUAAAUAUUAGAUAUUUAAUAUAUACAUAAUAUAUAUUUAUAAUAUAUUAUAUAAAUAUUAUAUAUUAUAUAAAUUAAAUAUAUAAUAAAUAUAUGAUUUAAUACAUUUAUAUAAAACAGGAAGAGGGUCCGCUGGCUAUAUUAUUAGUACACUAGUACUUUUGAGGGAAAAAAAAAAGAACUUUCGCUCGUGAUUGAUUAGUCUCGGUAGGCACAGGAAACAAAAGCUAUCUUCGUUUUUGGUUUCUUAUCGUGGAAUGCCACGCAACUUUUUGUCAAAAAACUUGCUUGAAUUAUUCUAGUUAAUGGAUAACAAAGGAUUUGGUUCAAUUACAAGUAUGAGAUCUAAUUGUUUUUAUUUGUUUCUUUUAUUUGUUAAUAUUUGUAUGUUUUCUGAUUAUUUUGUUGUUUGAACAUCAAGAACCCGAUAUUUAAUUCAAUCUAACAAUCUAUUGCCAAUUAAGACAGUCAAAUCUACAAUUAUUUAAUUAUUUUAAAUUAGUGGUGACUAACGUGGUUGGUUUCAUAUUAGGGUAACAUAUGGUCUAAUUUAAAUAAACCUGGUAGCAUGUUUAUUGAUUAGAACAGAGUCUUUCUAGUUUUUAAUACAAUCAAAAAAUUAAAUUUUAUGAGCGUACCUAGAGUUAUUUUUUGAUUAGGGAAAUAAUUUAUAGGCGUACCUUAACUAUCGAAAAAGUAAGGAAAUAUAUUGAUUGUCAUCAUGUGUUUGGCAAUUAUAACCUAUUUAUUACUGAAUAGAUGAAAUAAUUAUUGUAUCAAUGAGCAAUUGUAUGAACCACUUCUAAAGUUAUUUCCUUGAAUAGACCUUGUUUAUUAUUGAUUUAAAGUUAAUCUAUUUCAAUUUAAUUAUUUUUAUUUAUGGUAAUUAUUUAUUUUAAUUUCAAUUUCUGAAACCCCCAUUUAAUUUUUGCUUGGAAGGAAAUAAAUCAUCCAAUUUCUGAGGAGACGACCCGACUCACCGCAAUACUUGAAUUUAAGUUUUUAGAGUAGGAAUUUUAAUUUUGGUGAUUUGACACCCGUCACCCUUACUUUGUUUCAAUUCAUUUGAUACUUUUUUUAUUGUAUACCUUUUCAGGAAAAAAAUUGACAAUAUAGGAGUAUUUAAUAGGAAAAUAAUCUAAUAAUUGUAACUUUGGUUAUUAGUAGUCUUCCAUUUUUUAUGAUGUAGAUAAUUUCUCAGAAUUAUAAUCCAUCUUUGCAUCAUAUCAAACUAAAACAUCCCAAUUACUCUAAUUAAACCACUAUUUUUGUAGUCUAAGAAAAAUUGCAAACAAGUUUCUGCAAAAUAUCCAUUUGAAAACUGGUCAAGCUUAUCCUAAAUACUCAAUGAAAUGGAAUAUUGGAAUCGGCUUUUCUCAUAGUGCGAAAAGCCUAUAGAAACUUGAUUCUGCAAAUCAAAGGUGGCACAUAUCUGGUGUGUUGACGCUUUAAUCUUGUUAUUAGAACAUAAACAAGUUGCUUAAACGUUUUAAUAUUAGUAAACAAAGUACUUGCAGGCAUGUGAUAAUAUAAAUUAGCAGAUUCAACGAAUGUUAAUCAAUUUGAUCAAAGAAUUAGGUUCCAUGUUUUGUCCCUGGCUAUUAACUUUUUCUCAAGGAGAUUACACCUAGGGAAGAGGAUACAUUUAAAUAUAGCACGUUUAUGACAUAAUGCAGGCCUCAUAACUUGGAGGAAAUUUAAAAUGAUAGAAAAUUUCUCGAGUUCCAAUUUUAUUUGCACUGCAUUAUAAGAUAUGAAUCUUUAAUUUCUUUCUCUAUGUCAGUAUUUGCAUUAUUUUGCUCUGAGUCAUGCAUGCAUGCGUAAAAGAGAAUUCAUGCAUUCAUAUCAUACACUGAUUUUGAUAUGAUUAUGGUUUUUUUUUUCCCUCGAGCGUGUCAUCUCAUAUUCUUAAUUAGAAUAUUGAUUUCUUUUCACAUAAUUUAAUCUUUUUUCGAGUACGUUAUAUAAUAAAUCUAAAGAAAAGUAAUCUUCCAGCAUCAACACCAUAUACUACAGUAAAAGGUUUUAUCUAAAUUAUAACUAAAAUUAACUUUUUAUACACUGAUAAUGUAGUGAUUUUUUUAUACGAACAGUAAUGGAUGUAUGUUGCAUGUACAUAAUUUGAAUUGAUGUUAUGUGACAUUAAUUUAAACCUACUUGUAUUAAAAAAAUUGUACAUUCACAGCGUAUGAAAAGCUUACUCUUAUAACUACAUCACUUCACAAUGCUAAAGAAGGAGAAUAAGACUUUCUUUUUCCUCUGCCCUGAAAUACAAAAUUGUCAGAAUCCAAACGAAGAAAUACCACCGACUAUGCAAGAGUGAAUUUAAGUAUUUAACUCAAGCCUCUUUCUCCCUAAUGUAUAAGGCUUUACUAAUGCAAUACUUAUCAGAACUUCGUAUUAUUAUACUGAUGACUAUGUAAAGUUUCCAACCGUCCAUGGCCCUCUAUUGGACAUGGGGUUCCACCUCCCACAAGACAUUGAUCUGAACAUUGAUCAAAUAGGGGAUAGGGAAGAGAAUAUUGAGUUGUUCACUUGUUUGGUGAUAGAAAUGGGGCCAAUCUUGAUUUUAUAUAUCUCAAAGAUGUGGAAUUUGGGGAAAUAUGACAUAUAGUGAUAGUGAUGAAUUUUUUUUUUUUAUUUAUUAGUCACCAAAGGCUAAAUAAAAUAAAGUGGGGAUAGAAAUGUCUAAUGCCUCUUGGCACCAUGACUUGUCUAGAAAGCAAAUGUCCCAAUAAGGGAGUGGUCCAAUGUUUUACACCAUCAAAGGGAAUAAUAGAGAAUCACACACCUAUAAGAUGGAGAAUGUAUAAUUAGGAAUCAGACAAUCCAUAGGGACUGCUUAUGUCUUCAUUUUUUUUUCUAUUUUAGGUGGCAAUGCUUGUGUACAUGAUUAAUAACAGAUGUGAUACUCGGCAGAACUAAAAAUAAGCUGAAUUUGUUUGUUCACAUAGUUGGCCACAAAAAUCCUCUCAACCCAAUAUCUUAUUUUUUUUUUUUUUUUUUUACUUUUUCGUGCACUGAUAUUUAGGAGUUAGUUAACUUAAAAAUUUGUAUUAAACCUAUACUCCUCGAUUACAAAUCAUGCUCACUGAAGAUAAAAAUCAAUAAUCUGAAUAAUGUCAAGAAUUAUUGGCUUUUCAAAUCUAGCUGGCGCCUUAGUGUCAUCUCUGGAACCUCAAUGGCCCCGUUGGACCAAUCUCCUUCCCCCAUAAUAUAGAAGUAGUGUUGCUAUUGACAAACAAAAAAAAAAAAAAGAAGGAAUGAUGCUCUUCGAUGCUAAUCAAACAUGUGAAGGACCCUUAAUUUUACAGGGAUAAAUUGUCUUCUCCCUGAGAAAGGAAAAAGAGACUGCUAUCAAGCGUUUUCCACUAGAUAUAACUAGAGGAAAAAGUCGCGUAGUAGUUUAGUGCCUAUGAUUAGACAUGGUUAAUAAUUACUAUUUGUUGUUUUAUAGUAUACGAAUUAAAGUAUGAUAAUUUUAUUAUGUGAUAUUAAACAGAAAAAUCAUAAGUUAUAUACUUAGUCAAAAAAUAUAAUGUGCAAUGAAACAUAAUUAUAAGAUACGAUCAACCAUUUUGUAUUCAACCUAAUAAAAUAAAAGACCUACUUAUAUUUUCUUCUGCACUUUAAAAAUAAUAAAUUUUGUUGUUUAGUUUGAAUUUGAUCUUGAUACGAGGGCAAUUCACCGCAUUAUCUUGUCAUAUAAGUGAGAUUUGAACAAUUAGCAUAUUUGAAGAAAUCAUUGCUAGUGGAAUUUCAGUUCUUACAAGCCAAGUUCUUGAAUUUAUAUUGAUUCUAAGAACAUAUAGUCACGAGACCUCCAAAUUAGCUAAUCAAUCAAUUAUGAUUUAGGAGAUAUUGCAAAGCAUCUCCUUCUCAAUAGGGAAUUACAAUCACAAAACAUCAGUUUUUGAACUAGUUGCAAAAAUAUACAAGAACUAACUCACUAAUUUAGAGAAAUAAUUACCUCGAAAAAAGGUACUAAGGAUGCAUUUGAUAAAACUAAAAUUUGAAAACUGAAGUCUGAAAUCUAAAAUCUAAAGUCUGAUCCAUUAAGUUAUUGAAUUGUUAAAUAUUAAAUCUAAUAUAUUUGAGUGCAUAUCACAUUCAGUGAUUAGUGAAUAGCAUAUCACUUAAUUUUGGGAGCAAGUUUUGCCUAAAAAAUUUAGUACAACUUAAUUAAUUUAGAUAUUCAAAUUUUGGUUAUCAAAUGGUCCGAAUAUAUUAAAAUCUGAUUCCAUUAAGUAUAAGUGCUGAAUUUGGUUAUCAAACAGGACCUAAGGCAUCUUAAUCUAUUCAAUUCAAGAAAACAAUUAAAAGUAAUAAAGUGUAUACUUUAAAUUUACAGCAAAAUAGUUUUAAGUAGAUAGUUAAACCUAUUGACAAACCAAAUGAACUGAAAAAUUUGCCCAAAUGGAAUCGCCAAUAAAAUAGCAAACAAUUUGAAAACUAUCGUAACUAAUAGUUAAAACAACAAAAGAAGUAGGAGCAAACUGUAAAUGGGAAAAUGUAUGAUGUUAAACUUACCUUAAGCCACCAAUAGCAAUUAAUAAAUGUGACUUCCUUCCUAACAAGCCUGUUUAACAUGGAUAAUUGAAUUAAAAUACUAGAAAAUUAUCGCACAUACAACUUGCAAGAUUACAGAUUUCUUACAACUAAAAGGUAGAUUGGCUAAAGAAAACAUACCUAUUGAGAUUUCUUACAACCAAAAAGUAGAUUGGUCAAAUAAAACAUGUAUAUUGAUAAAGCUGUUGCAAAAUGGGGAAAAGGAGUAGCUAAUGUAGUAAGAUCUGAAUUUAAUAGGUUGUAUAAUUGUGGUAGAACAAAGUUGUAAGUAAAUGAAAUGAAUUUGAAUAAAUGGAAGUUACUGUUGUAAUGGCCAAGAAACCAAACUUCUUCACUAAUUGGCAUUAAUUGUAUCUUAACAUCUAUAUAUCAUAAGUUUGCAAAUAACCACUGAGAAAGGUUUCAAGAAAGUCAGAGACUUGGAUGCUAAUAUAAUUAAAUGAUUAGAAGGGCUUUUAUGUAAUUUCACUAAAAUACAAACUGAAUUUUGUUGUACCCAAUGCUCAACCGGACAUUGAACACUGUCACAUAACAAACUUGUCCCUACAUUCAAAUGUCUUAAAGGACAUCUAAAUAAUUACGGUAAAACCAAAUUAACUAUAAUAACUUGUACUCAAUGCUUCAAUUGCACUGCAAACACUCUAGCAUUUCCAAAAUACUCCCACCCUUGCAAUUGAAAUUUUUUGAAGGACUUGCAAUUGAAAUUUAAAAAUCAUCUUUGUUUUAAACUCAUUUUUAUGUAGUAUAAGGAUAAGGAAAUGCCUAAUUUGUAGCUACAUGUAUAACCUCUUAGUCUGAUCCAUAGAUGUUACGGCUCUCAUCUUAAAUUAAUCAACACUGACAUUGUAUAAGAAAUACUUUUGAGUCAUACAAGAAGUAUUGACUGACACACGAAAAGACCCAAUAUAAUCGUAAUAAUCCUAUGCUAUUCUUAUUGAUUGUAUGCUAUCAAGUAGUUGAGUCAUUUCAACGGUUUGUUGAUCGAUCUUUUACAUUUGUAAUCAUGUUUUUGCUUAUAUCCUUUGACAAAGAAGUAACAUAAACUCUCCAGAAGUAAUCUUUUAUUAUAUUGUUAAAUUCUGUAAGCACAUUUAGGCCGAAAAAGAAAAUCAGGAAGUAAAUACCAUUUUAGAAAUUUAUUCCCCCACUGAUCAUCUAUCAUCUAUGAAUUAGAAAACCAAGUUUUGUACCUUACUGCAUCAAUAAACUUUGGGUACGUGGCAUGAACUGUAAAGUCGUACAUAGAUGCCAUACUUGAGGCAAUAGAAUAGACCACUUGGCAGGGGAAAAAAAUGAAGAUGAGAAAAAACUUAAGCAGUAAUUUGUCAUUAAGCACAUCUAAAGCAACUAUAAAAGUAGACCACCAUAACUUCUCUUUCAAAAAUCCUUUCAAAACCUGUUUCAGGGAAAAAAAAAAAGGUUGGGUCCAUUUGAGAGGUCGACAUUCACAUAUAUAUUACUGGUUCAUAUCUUGACUUGAAAGGGUUCAUUAUGUGUAAUUUGCUAGACCAUGAAUAGAUAAUCACAAACCAGUUUUCUAAUUGGAACACGAAGAUUGAAUCUGUAGAAGUGAAGGCUAAAGAUUCUUCUAAGUGGGAGCAAGCAAAGGUAAAGAGAAGAGAACAAAAGCAAAGUUUAACCCAUCUGUGAUAAAUCAUCCAAUUUUCUUAUUCUUUUUUCGUUUUCCAAGAACUGUAACAAGAUUCCUGUCCAAAAUGGAACCACCCCUACAUCAUCUUGCUCAAGUCAUCAAUUUGGACUACUAUAUCAUCAUCAUAGGAUGACAUAAAAGUGUGACUUCACAUCCAUUUGAUGGAAAGCAUUUUUGCACAAGAUUGAGGGUUUUGUGAGGACCAAAGAUCUUUUUUUUUUUUUUCUCUUUUUGACAACCAAAUUGGAACCAAUUUAUUAAAUGGUUUUGAAUUAUAGAAUCAAUUUAUUGCUGAAAAUUAUAGAAUCAGGGGCUUCCUCCAGCCAAACAAGUAAAGUUUUGAGACAGAAAAGCCAAUCUAAAGUCUAAACUAAGAGGCUUAUUAGGUCAGGUCCAAGAAACUUAAAGGUUGAAACCAUAUAUUGAUCAGUGAAGAAAACAGAAAGACUGGGAUCAAAAGAGAUGCCCUUCUCAUUGACUUCAAAGGUGUAUUUAUAUACAGAGAUAAGGAUCCUACCUAUAUAAUUUCUAUAUCUGUACAAAUAAAGAUUUCCUAUACAAUAGUAAACUACCAAAAAUCACAUCCACUAAUUUAUUAGCUAAAGAUCCUAAAAUAUCAUUCUGUAAAUUGCUGCACUAAGUUCUGCAAUUUCCUCAAUUUGCAAUUUCCUCAAUACCCCCCCCCCCUCAAGUUGGAGCAUGAAGAUUUGAGAUGCCCAACUUGCUAAGAAGAAAUUGAAACUGAUCAGUACCCAAAGUUUUAGUGAAAAUAUCAGCAAGUUGUAGAGCCGUACGUACAUGAGCUGUUUCAAUGUUCCCAUUUUUUAUCUCUUCUCGAAUGAAAUAACAAUCAACUUCGAUGUAUUUCGUACGCUCAUGAUAUACAGGAUUCGCUGCGAUAUGUAAAGCUGAUUGACUAUCACAGUACAAGCGCAUGGAACUAGAAUGAUCAACACCAAGAAAUAGCAACAAACCUUUUAACCACUUAAGUUCACAAGCUGCUGUAGUCAUGGACCGAUAUUCUGCCUCAGCAGAGGAGCGUGAAACAGUCUAUUGUUUCUUGGUUUUCCAUGAGACAGGUGAUCUGCCCAAGCAAAUAAAAUAACCUGUCAAGGAGCGUCUUGUCAAGGGACAACUUGUCCAAUCGGAGUCACAGUAUGCAUACAAUUUAAGAUCAGAGUUGGCCCGCAAAAGGAUUCCCUGUCCAGGAUUACCCUUCAAAUAUCGGACUACUCGUAAUGUAGCUUCCCAAUGGGCCUUCUUUGGUUGCUGCAUAAAUUGAGCAAGAAUAUGGACACAGUAGCUCAACUCAGGUCGUGUAAUAGUUAAGUAAAUCAGUCUGCCUACCAGCCGACAAUAUUGAGCAGGGUCACUAGCGUCAUCCCCUUCAACAAGUGCAAGUUUAUGAUUCUGCUCCAGUGGAGUUUUCGCUGGCUUAGCUCCCGGCAAACCAACCGCAGAAAUGACAUCCAAGGCGUAUUUUCGCUGACAAAGAAAAAUCCCUUCAGCAUUUCUUGCUACCUCUAUACCCAAAAAAUAUUUCAAUUGUCCCAAAUCCUUCAUAUGAAAACAGCUGCUCAAAUAUUGCUUAACUCGCUGCACAGCCGUGGCAUCAUUACCUGAAAUAAUGAGAUCAUCUACAUAGAUCAGAACAUGUAUUUGCACAUGCUGUUCACGAAAAUCAAACAAUGAAUAGUCUGAGCAAGAUUGAUGAAAGCCAUACUUCUUUAAAGAAUCUGCCAGCUUAGCAAACCAACGAUGGGGUGUCUGAUGCAAGCCAUAUAAAGACCUUCGUAGUCUACACACUUUCCCAGGAUUUUUAGAGACAAAACCUAGUGGCAUUUUCAUGAAAACUUCCUCAUUCAAGUCUCCGUGCAAGAAAGCAUUCUGCACAUCCAUCUAAUGUAGUUCCCAGUUCUUUGCAGCAGCUACUGCAAGAAAAGUACGUAUAGUGGCCAUCUUUGCAGUGGGAGCAAAAGUUUCAUGAUAGUCAAUACCCUCUUUUUGAUUAUUGCCAAGAAUUACCAAUCGAGCCUUGCAUCGUUCAAUACUUCCAUCAGAAUUAUAUUUUAUUUUGUACACCCACUUACUGCCAAUAGCCUUCUUCCCGACGGGUAAGUCCUGCACCAUCCAAGUUCCAUUCUCUUCCAAAGCUUGAAUUUCUUUUCUCAUAGCUUCACGCCAUCGUUCAUCUCCCAUUGUCUCAUUAUAAGAAACUGGUUCUAAACCUGCAGUAAUGCUUGCCAAGAAGGACCAAUGUUGUGAAGAAAACCGAUCAUAGCUAACAAAAUUGGCUAUGGGAUAAGACAUACCUGAGGAAUGCUGUUGAAGCGGUGAACUCUGCGAGGGGCUGAAUUGCACAUUAUUUGUCACAUAGUCCUUCAGACGAGUGGAUGACUGUUUAAUCCUAUGUCCACGACCAAGCUGAUCUCCUACUAGUACCUCCUCUCUUGAAUUUUCUUCCCUAUUUUCAGCUACACUAAUUUCUGCAAUUUCCUCAGUAGGAGGACAACCUUCAGGAGAUUUCUCUAAUAUCUCCCCAUCUUCCUCAAUAAUUUCCCAAUCCUUAUGCUCAUGAGCUCCAUCUGCAUUUGUAGUGGAAUUUUCACCUGCAAACAUUGUUGCAGCGUAUGGAAAAUUUGUUUCGACAAACGCCACAUCCCUCGAGACAAGAUACUCAGAAGUCUCUAAAUCAUACACUUUUCAUCCUUUCUUGUCAAAAGGGUAUCCCACAGAAACACACCUACGGCUUCGACUGGCAAAUUUAUCCUUAUCUCUAAGUUGUCUAUGCACAUAACACAUACACCCAAAAGUCCUAAUAUGAUUAUACGAAGGAAGUUGUCCAAAGAGAAUUUCAUAAGGAGUUUUUCCCUUCAGAAUCGCGGAUGGUGUCCUAUUGAUUAAGUAUCCAGCGGUAAGAAUGCAUUCCCCCCAAAAAUCAAUUGACAAGUGUGCCUGAAACAUCAAAGCUCUCGCCACAUUAAAAAUAUGAUGAUACUUUCUCUCAACUUGUCCAUUCUGUUGGGGAGUUCCUACACAAGAAGUUUGGUGCAAUAUACCAUUUUCAUCAAAAUAUUUUCGUAGACACACAAAUUCAGUGCCAUUAUCACUCCUAAUAGUCUUCACAUCCUUCUCAAAUUCUCGUUUAACCAUAGCAAUAAAAUUCUUAAGAACACAAGCAACUUCAUGUUUUCCUUUCAGCAAAUAAAUCCACACAGCACGAGAACAAUCAUCAACAAUAGUCAAGAAAUAAGCAGCUCCACAAGAAGCCAAAGUUUUAUAAGGUCCUCAUAAGUCACAAUGCAUUAAAUCAAAACAAUUCUUAGCUUUAUUGUCACUAGAAUAAAACAUCUCUCUAGUCUGUUUUGCUCUAAAACAAACAUCACAACUUAAAUUAUCACUAUUUUUACAAAAUUUAUUUGCUGCAGAAAUCAACUCUAGCGCCUUAUUCGACGGAUGACCCAUUCUCCUAUGCCAAAGAUUGAAGUCUGAAACUCCAGAAGUUUUACAAGCAUUUGCCGAAGCCACCGCCUUCAAAAAAUACAGCCCCUUGUGUUGUUCACCCGCUCCAAUCAGCCUCCUCGUAUUUCGGUCCUGUAUAGCACAAAUUUUGUUAGUGAUUUGCAGUACCAGAUUUGAGUCAUUGAGAAGUUGUGAAACAGAGAUCAAGUUAUAUUUUAAAUUAGGCACAAAAAGAACAUGUUGCAAUUUCAAUCCUCCUCCAAGAUGCACUGUUCCUUCUUUCAGUGCCACAGUUGCUUCACCAUUUGGCAUUUCGACUGAACAUGAAACAAUGUCAGACACAUCUCUCAGGCAGGCCCUUGUCCCAGUCAUAUGAUGGGAAGCCCCUGAAUCUAUUACCCAAGACAAAAUUUCUUGCUUACCAAUCAAUCUUUCAUUGGAUACAGUCUUUUGCGAACUCAAAAGUCCCAGCAAAGUGCUCCAUUGUUCAUUAUUCAACCCACUAAGCUCCUUUCUUUCAGUUUCUGUGACUCCUUCGUGAUCAUCUUCUGUUGCAAAUGUUUGAGUGACAUUUGCUCGUGGUACACCACCCCUGUCACAGCCUCCACCACCAUUGCGCUUACGCUCACUUCCUCGUCCUGGAGUACUGGAGCGAGGUCUAUUUCCCCACCAAUCUGGAUACCCUAUUAGCUGAAAGCAGGUACCUGAAUCGUGUCCCUCACGAUUGCAAUGUGAGCAUACUGCAGUUUUGUCCCCCCCUGAAUUUCGUCCACCAACCUGAACUGCAAAGCUCAUGGGGUUGCCUUUCUCUUUCCUUGUUCGUGACAUUGUUCUUACUCGUUCUUGCUGAACGACCAUUGCAUAUACCCUAUUUAGAUUGGGUAAUGGCUCUGUGCUCAAAAUAUUAGCACGCCCAGUACCAUAGCGUUCUUCAUCCAAGCCCAUCAAAAAUUGAUGAACUCUUUCUUCCUCCCUUUUCUUUUCCAAUUCAGUUGUGAGAUUGCACUUGCAACCACCACAACUGCACAAUGAUAUUUUGUCGUAAUUAUUCAGUUCAUCCCAUAUGGUUUUAAGCUGUCCAUAGUAAUUGACUAUGGUUUGUCUCUCCAGCUUGCGGUUCGUCAAGUCCGAUCUCAAUUGCUGGACUCUUGGUCCAUUCCCAAUUGAGAAGCGCAGCCUUAUGUCCUCCCAUAAAUCUCCAAUAUUGUCCACAAGAGAAAUAGUUGAACGUAAAGAGGGUUCAAUGGGGUUAAAUACCCAUGAAACCAGCAUGGAAUUAACUGUCCACCAAUCUUCAAUUUCCGGCGAAUCAUCUACCGGUUGUUCCACAGCUCCAUCAAUGAAACCAUACUUCUUUUUGGCCCUUAAUGCAGUCCGCACUGCCCGUGCCCACUCUUCAUAAUUUUCUCCCUUCAACUGCACCUGGGUAAUUAUGUUGCUUGGAUUGUCGUUGGGGCCUAGAGCAUAAGGACUGGAAGUUUUCUUAUCUGAACCAGAAUUUCCUUCGUCUUUGGGCGGCAUGGCUCUGAUACCAUGAAGAAAAUAGAAAGACUGGGAUCAAAAGAGAUGCCCUUCUCAUUGACUUCAAAGGUGUAUUUAUAUACAGAGAUAAGGAUCCUAUCUAUAUAAUUUCUAUAUCUGUACAAAUAAAGAUUUCCUAUACAAUAGUAAACUACCAAAAAUCACAUCCACUAAUUUUUUAGCUAAAGAUCCUAAAAUAUCAUUCCUUAAAUUGCUGCACUAAUUUCUGCAAGUUCCUAAAAUAUCAUUCCGUAAAUUGCUGCACUAAGUUCUGCAAUUUCCUCAAUAAUCAGAAACAAUUUUUAGAGUUUUUCCCUUGUCGAUGGGGGUUGCUUGAGGGAGGAAGAAUUCCCAGAAACUUUAUGCUAGUGUACAACUCUUCCUGUAAAGUUCCGGAAUCUAUUUUCCUUCCUUUACUGCAAUAAAAAUUACAAAAAUAAUCAGCUUUCACAAGGAGGGUUAGCCUGGGAUAAACUUACAAGAGUACUCCACAAUGGCUAUUCCUUCAAAAAUACUUUGUAAAAUUAAAGUUAGGUGAAAUUAAAUUCGUGAAUCAUGCUAGCCUAGCUAUAUUGGGUGUUAACUGAUGUUAGUAAAUGUGGAGAAGAACUGUGGAAUUACCUAGUUGAAUAUUAAGUACAUAUUCAAAGAAAACUAGUUUAUUAUUUAGAGGUUCCACUUCAGAAAAGUGAAGUAAAUAUUCUUGCUGAUGAUGAUUUAAGGCUCAGACACUUGAUUUAAGGCUAAGACACCAUUAAUAUGUAAAAGAAACAAAACUCAAGAAGUGUUUUAUUACCCCUUUUUGUUUUGUUGAUGGUAAUUAACGUCUAAUUAUGUACUCCAAUUCUCAUAGCAUAAGCUGGUAAUUUUUUGGUUUGCAAGAAGAUACUAUGGUGCACUUAUCUCUCCGCUAUAAUCUGUCUCGCCAGGUGUGGUUUGUGCUGGAGAAAUUGUUUCCUAUUGGUCCAAUGCAUAGAUCAUCAAAUUGCAAAUGUGCUGAAAGUCUUGAUGGUCUCAAUCUGAUUCAUCAGUUAGUGACAGGAACAUUUAAGCAAAUCAUCCCUUCUCUAAUUUGUUGGGAGCUGUGGAAAUGAAAGCCCAAAUUAUAUGUUUCUGAGGAAAAAAAAGGCCUGUUAUCACUGCAGCUAUUUUUCACUAUUCCUGGGGUGAUCUAUUUGCUUUCCUUUCCUUGGAUCAAAUCCUUAACUAAUACAAAGAUUAAAUCUGUGUUGGAAGUAAGGUAACACAAUCACAACCGGGUUCAACAGCAUGCAAUUUUCAACGGCUCCAAAAAGUUCUAAGACUAAUUUUACAUAAUUUAUCAUGUAAAUUAUCAUAAUUUAUAAGACUAAUUUUACCUUGCACCUCCGAACUUGUAUCACUUUGCACACUAAACUUAAAUUUUUAACACUUUGCACCCUAAACUCUUAAGUUUGUUUGAUUUAAGUCCAAUCAAUGACUACAUUCACAAAAUUAAUAAGAUAAAAAUCAGUGAAAAUUAAUGAUGAUGUACUAUUUUCUUCUAACUGUGACCCCCUUGACUUUUUUGACUACUUUUAGUACAUUAUCAUUGAUUUUUAAGGUCUCAAUUACUAAUUGUUAGCAAAAUUAACAAGAUAAAAGAUUGUAUAAAUUAACGAUAAUGUAUUAUUUUAUUCUUGUUAUGAUAACUUGGCAUCUUUUGAUUAUAUUCGGAACAUUAUCACUGUUUUAUUGGGUCCUUUGUGUUGUUAAUUUUACUAAAGUUAUCGUUGACUGGACUUAAAUAGGACAAAAUUGAGAAUUUAGUGUACAAAGUGUCCAAAAUUAAAAAUCAGGUGCAAAGUAGAAAUGUGAUACAAGUUCGAGGCGCAAAAUGAAGUUUGUCCAAAUUUAUAACUUGUGACUCAUGAAUCGUUAUAUAAUUUCUUAUAAAGCCCUUACAUUUAGAAAACUAUACAGAUUUAUGAUAGUUUGAAUUUGUCGCAAUAUUGCCUAUUAAGAGGUGAAUUUACCUAUUAAUCUUACUAUUGAUCAAUAUUUCUAAUAAAUCAGAAGGGGAAAUUAAUUGAAUGCUCGAAGUAAAGCUACAUUGAUUAUAGUCAAUAGGUAAUUCAAGGAUUUUAUCAGGCCACUUGGAGGUGUUUGAAUACUGAAACCUUUGAAAUGUUGAAUAUUAAGUACUCAAAAGAAUCCCUUUGACAAAAUACUGUUUGGAUUGUAAGUUAUUUAAGAUUUUUUACUGUAGCACUUUUUGUGAUGUGAUGUAUGUGAGAUAAAAAGGUAAUUAGAAAGAUAAAAAAGUGUAUUGAAAAUUAUAAUGAUGAUGUAAGCAAAUAUAUUUGAAAAAAUAAUCAGCUGUUCAGGCAAAUAUGAUCUUCAUCCGUUGUUGACUACAUAAGUCUCAAAUAAUACAUGUUUCCUCGUACGGAUAUGCUGUGAACUUGUACAUAACAAAAGGUUUUCUACACAAGCAAAAUUGCUUAUUGAAUCAAACAUUAGUCUUUUCUUCCCCUUUUAUCAAAUCAGAUUUUGUGCUUAUAUUGUGUCCAGCAGAAUUUUACACUGAUUAAUCAUAGAUCAUUUCUAUGAAUUCAUGUCAAUGUUGUUACUGUGUCUGUGUUGUAGCAAAGCUCUGGUGAAAGUUUUUAAUCUUGUGGUUAAUAUUACUUUGCACCGUUAAAAAGUAGUGAAGCAUGGGAGGUGGGACAAUGUGCAGUUGCAUUUCCGUUUGUGAAAACCAAGACCUAAACUCUAGCUUAAUUAGAAUUAGAAGUUCAACAAAGGCUGAUUCCUUAACUCUAAUUGCAUAAUCAAAAGAUGAUUUUGAUACAUUAAUUGGACCAUUAUGUAUAUUAGGACUAUUCUCUGUCAUAACCUAGCAUUAACUUGCUACUGAGGUUCUCAACCUGUAUAAAGACUGGCACGAAAAUAAGCUCAAACACUAGAUUAAUAGCAAAGAAAAUAACUUAGGCUCUGUUUGGAUUAGCUGUUACUGUAGCAGGUUUUUAGAGUAUAUUUUGAGAUAUUUUUAGAUAAUAUUUUAAAAUAUUUAAGAGUAGUAGAGUUUUUAAGAUAUAUUUUAGGAUAUUUUUUAAAUAUUAAAAAAAAUUUAGAGUACCUUUUAGAGUACUUUUUAAAAAUUUAAACAAGUUUUUUAAAUAUAAUAAAAUUUUUUAAAAAGUACUCUAAAAGGUAAUCUAAAAAUUAGGGCUUGUUUGGAAGUCCAAGUUUUUACCAAGUUUUUAUUAUACUAAUUUUUUAACAACUUGUGUUACAGGAACCCCAAAAACUUAUCAAAGUUUUUUAACAUACACACUUAAAAUAUCCAAAACACAAAAAAAAAAAAACUCCUUUCCCCUUUUCUUCUUCUUCCUCCCCCACCACUACCUCCGUCAACUGCUCCGUCACCGGCCACCACCUCCGCCGCCGGUUCCGGCGCCGAUCACCUUUUCCGGUGCCGAUUUUUUUUUUCCUUUUUCCCUCUCCCCUUUUUUUUUCCUUUUUCCCUCUUCCCCCGCAAGUUUUUUUUUUUCUCUCUGCGUCUCCCCCCCUCCUCCCCCACCACCCUUCCCCUUCCCCUCUGGCCGAUCUGGUCGCGAGACCAGAUUGCACCGAGGGAGGGUGAGGGUGGCGGGGAAAGGGGAGGACAGAGGGAAAGGGGGGAUUUGCCCAAAAAAAAAAAUUGACGGGUGGCGGGAUUCGGGGGUGGUAAACGGGAAGGGGAAUAGGGGAGGGGGAAGGGGGUGACGGGGGGAGGGGGAAGGUGGCGAGGGGGUGGCGAGGCAGUGAGGGGGCGGGGGAGGGGAAGGUGGGCCUGUUUGGAAGUGCGGGGGGAGGGGGAGGGGUGGCGGAGAAGGGCAGAGGGGAGGGCAGAGGGAAGCGGGGUGAGGGGGUGGCGGGGGGAGGGGGAAGGGGCAGAGGGGGAUAAGCAAAGCAGGGGGAAGGCAGGGGGAGGGGGGUGGCGGGCGAAGAGGGAUGGCGAAAAGCAGGGGGGAGGGGAAGGCGGGGGGAGGGGUGGCGGGACAGAGGGGAGAAGCAAAGCAGGGGGUGGCAGGAGGUGGCACUGCUGGAGGCAGAGGUAACGGGGAAGGGGGAAGAAGAAGAAGAAGAAGAAAAAAAAAAAAAAAAGAGAAAGGAAAGAAAGAAAAAGAAAGAGAAAGAGAAAGAGAAAAAAAAAGAAAAAAAAAAAGUUUUUAACCCUACAAAAACUUCUACAAAAUUUUUUAAAAAACUUCUACAGUGCACUACAGUAAAGUUUUAGACAAACUCGCAAAAAACUAGGUUCCAAACAGGCUCUUAGUUUAAAAUUUAAAAAAAAAUAUCUCAAAAUAUAUUUUAGAGACUCUUCUACUCUUAAAUAUUCCAAAAUAUUUUUUAAAAAUAUUCCAAAAUAUACUCUAAAAAUUCUGCUACAGUAAAAUUUUUUAAAAACACCCCCAAAACAGCUAAUCCAAACGGCGAGUAUAGUAUUUGAAAAACUAGUUUUUAAAAAACUGAAAGGUCCAAACAGAGCAUUAUGUAUUUACUAAUUCAACCAAGUACUUGAAAUAUUCAGAUGGUUUAAGUGGACUCGAUUCCGACCAAUACCAUUUGGGUCGGGCAUUGCCCUUGAAGCCAUAGGUCCCUUGCAAUGUUUAGAAUGUAUGACAUAAUAUCUACUUGAUAUACAGCAAAUGAAGUAAUCUGGCAGACUAUGAGAAGCCUUUAAGCACAAGUAGUACAAUGACAAAUUUGACUUGUUGCUAGACGGGUACACAAGAUAACUUCGAAGCUAAAUAUCCAUCAAGUAAAAUAAGCCUUGAGAGAUUUUCCACAGCAUUGAUACUCAAAACUGUUGGCUCCACUAAAGAGAGCAUAUGAUGUUCGUUGCGAAUGAUCCAUCUAUGACAACUUUGAUUUCAAACGAAAAUGAUAUUAGGAGCAGAGAAAAGUGAUAAUAACAGAUUCACAAGUGUUAUAUUUUACGGUUAAAGACUUCUUUGAAAUAAAUAGGCUCAAGUAGAUGCACAAUCAGUGGAUGAAUGAAGAUUCCACCAUAAUCUUGUAAGAGUUACUACUUCAAAACCAAGUAACUAGGUAGUGCUGAGCUUUAGGACACAACUAGAAGGGGAACUACCAAUUAGUUGGAGACUACAAGUCCAGAACACUUAAAGAUGGUACAUUACCACUUUCACCAAUGAUGAUUUAGCAGUCCUUAAUCCAUGUAUAAAGUACCAAUUGCUGAUUUCAUUUUCAUGUAACAAUAUACUUUCCCCUUGAAAUGAGAGAGGACCAUAGGAACGCAAGUCUAGUCUGCAAACUUAAUUUACUGAGUCCACAAUAUUUGUUGAGCAUUCAAACUAGUCGGUCUACUCCACAAAGGCACAACAGAAAAAUCUACUCAAAAGUUCCAAGCAUCUGAUCAACAAAUCUUACAGAUUCCCAAUAUUACCUAACCCCAAGUCUGAUUAACAUGGUAAAUCAUCUUACUACCUCAUUUAUUACCCUUUUAAACCAAACGACCUGUAUCAAACAGCAGAAUUCAAUUGCUCGUUCCUCCAGAAAAGGAUCUACAUUGUCCCUCCAACCCGUCUAUGAGAGUGUAGCUUAGUCUAUCAUUCCCUGAGACACUCACAAGAGAAUGAAACAUUAGCAAAAGUAGGACCUGCUUACUGUUCUGCCUCUUCUUGGCCCCGAGGAGCCACGAUGAGAAUGCAUUAAAAAGAAAAUGACAAGGAGAUUAAUAAUUCUCUCAGUGACCCAACUUUUCAGCUUAAAUGAAAUUCGAAUCUGUAGUGAAAGAAAGCAAGGUAAAAUUAGGGAAGAUAAAUUGUUUCUAAUGUAAGUCACUUCCCACUCUAUCUAUUUCAAUUAUCACCCGAGAUUCAAAAUUACUCUGUCCUUAGAACUUCCAUUACAGAAGAGGCACUAAACCGUUUGCACAUCUUUUCAGUUUAAUAGCUUUGAAAAAAACAAGGUGCCCCUCUCCCAAAUAAUCCUUUCAAUCUUUCCUCUUUUGAAUAAAGUCCCAAGCACAGUUUUCUUAAUCAGCAACAACUCAAUUUCUCCCCAUAUAACGUGAAGACAUACACCAAGAAGGAUAAAAGCUGCAUAGCUUCACCACAACUUGGGUAUCCUUUACUAAGAACGCUGAAGCUCUUAAAAAACAAAACAAGAAGACAGGGAAUCUGCAUAUCCAUGCCAAACAUUAUUCAAAACUUGAUAAGAUAAGUUCAAUUAAGAACAUUACAACUACCAAUUACCUAAUCAUGUCAAUGAAGUUCCACCAUGACAGAUAGACGAAAGAAAAGUGAAAAACUUACCCAAAUCCAACAACCAAUCAUGACCUUCUGCAUACUUCAGAUUAUGUUAUUGAACAAGAAAUAGCAACCUUCCAUUGCAUGAUAAAAACUGAAAUGUUGUACUUGCAACCAAUCUACUGCUAACCAGCAUUAAAGGUAUAUCUUUUACACCUUAAUAUACUGUAAACUAUAUGCCCCUUGAUAAGCACCCAUUACUACAAGAAAAUCAACAAAUAACAAUCCAAGCACAAUGGUAACUGGUAACAACAACCAAACAUAUUCACGAAAUGGCGGACAGAAAUGAUGAAACCAUUUUCAAUUUCAAAUUUCAAUUCAUACAAAGCUACAAGUCUUGUAGCAUUACAAAUAAAAAUUAGGAAAAAUGACACCAAAGAAAGGAAGGAAACACCAAAAUCAAUUUCAGGAAAAUGUAUGAGGACAAUAAUAACAACAUACAAGGCGUCCAAUCCUCAUUAAUUUAAUUUCAAUAAACAAAAAAGAUACUGGUACAACAAUAGAAACUUUCAGUUUCCAGCAUGAUUAUCAUGCAAUUACUUCAGACCUUGACCAAUACAAAUUGCAAUUCAAACACCAAUAAAAAUUAUCAUUUGCCAAUUCCCGACUCCUCCACGUUCCCUAAGGCACUGCUGAGAGCUGAGCCUCAAGCAAGAAACCCCGGCAAAGCCCAUCUCCAUUUCCAGGGACACCAUCAAUCCACCGCCACUCAGUCUUUUCACAGCCAUUCUCCUCAAAACACUCCCAAACCACCAAUUUUCCAACCCUUUUAGCAGAAAAACAGACCCGAUUUCCCCCUCCAAACACCUUAAACUUACUCGAAUCCUGAAAAAGCCUAUACAUUUCUGAUGGCAUUCGCCCAGCCUCGUCCCACUCUAGACUCUCCAAAUCCAACCUCAGGAUCAAAAUUGUCGAACACGCGCUAUGCAGCGAGUAAGAACUCUUCAAUCCACCAAUCAUGAGAACCUUAUUCUUCCCUCCCACUAACAAUCUAGGCCGCUUUAUUAUAUCAAACACAUCGCCCCACUCGUGCUUCUCGAGCCGAGUCCAUUUCUGGACCAACUGAUCCCCUCUGUUAAUCACCAUAGACUUAAACAACUUCCACUGAGAUCGCCAUGGCGAUCCCACAUCACAAAGGGCAAGUAUAAAAUUCUCAAUCAAAACAGGGCUUCGCGGCUUGGAAGGUAGAUUAGACGAAUACUUGAGCCAAGAAUUGGCAGUCGAGUAUAAAGUAGCUAGCUCGGUAAGAACCAGAACUUGGCUGGGGCCAGCUCCGAUUAGAACGGAGCCGUGGCGCGACCAAGCCGAGCCCAGCUGAGGUAAGGCCUUGAAUUGCCUCGUCAAAGGGUUGCAAACAAUCAGCAUUUUAUUACUGAUCGGGCCGGGAUUGGGGGAAGAACUAGAGGACGAAGCCCAGAGAUAGAGCAGGCCACGAGAGGAGGUGAUGGGGAGGAGGGAGGGAAAGGGAAGGAAGUUGAGGGGAAAUCUGAACCAUCUGUCAGACAAAGGGUCGAACACGUGGAGAGCAGGAUGGGAAGACAGGUGGGAAUGCGAGUGGGAUCGGUGGGAAGGGCGGAGGGCAAUUAGGGAAAGCACAUGGGAUUGGGAACUGGAAAUCAAGUGCAAGAAUGAUGGAGAAGAAAGAGCGGUAUACAGGGACUUACAAACUGCUCUGCAGAUGAUCAUCUGGCGGAGUGGCAGGGAAGAAAAGAUCUGGUGGAGGGUGUCUUGAGGCAACCGAUUGAGUGGGGAAGAUUCCAUCCUCUUUUGGGUUUCUUCUCUGGGUUUUCUUGGGGGUUUUUUGGGGGGGCGAGGAGAUGAUGGGAUUUUGGAGUCUGGUGGAGGUGGUGGUGGAGGGCGGCUGUGGUGGUGGUGGUGGGACGGGAAUUGGGUAGUUGGCUGGUUUGAUGGGGGAAUUUUGCUUGGGGGAAAUGGAAAUGGUUUAAGGCUUUUAAGGUGGCAAAAGUGGACGGUGGAGUGGAGUUGGAGGUUUUUGUUUGAUGUGGGUGCAGGAAAUGGGAGUAUUUGUUUGACUCUCUCAAGACAUGUUUUGCCAACUGCUAGAGGAGAGGAAGGGAAUUUAUGCUUAGUUUGGGAGAUGAGAUUUCAGCAGAAAAGAAAAGAAGGGAAGACAAACGUAGGUGUUUUCCACAUUUGAGUGUUUUAGUGAAAUAGAAAGGAAGAGAAUCCAGCUAAUUUGGGAGGAGGAAGAGACCCACUGCAAUUAACAAAAUUUUUCAUCCCAAAACGGGCAGAAAAGAAAAGGAAAGCUACGAAAAGGCUGCAAAAAUUUUUUGAAUUGCCCGUUCUAUUCUUGAAAAACUAUUGAAUGAAAAAUUUAUUGACCAAUGUGUUCAAAAUCAUUUCUUUUCUUUUAUAAAUUUUCAAACAACAUUAAAAUCUUUUCUCUUCUUUUUUUAUCCUUUCUUUUUUCUCAUAACUUCUCUUCUUUUCUUUUCUAUCCUCAACUCACAAACAAGCUAUUAGGUUCUUCAACCUUGUUUGGGAGGGAAAGUAUCAAUAGUAGGGCAAUUUUUGGUACAACUAUCAAAAUUAUGUUUGUAUGGUGAAAUAUCAUUUUUUGUAUUUCUCAUUGCAUGGAAAUUUAGGCUAUUCACUUUUUUUUUUUUUUUGUGUUUACUAUAAGGAUAUAUUGCAAAUUCAGUGUCCCUCUCAUUUGAGUAGACAAAAAUUCCACUCAUGCAGGUCAAGUUUGAGUAUUUAACCUAUCUUUUUGCUACAGUCCUUUGUAACUCAUAUUUUCACUAAAUUUCAUAUAUCCGUGUAUGUCUAUAUUUUUCUUGUCUUUUCAAUUUUUUUUUUGUUGCAACUUAAAAUUUUAUCAUGUACCAUAGAAAAAGAAAAAAAGAUAAAGGUUUGAACUUGAAUCAUCAAAUAAAGGAAAAUAGGCCUUAAACUUUAGGAAGGAAAUAGAAUGAGUUGUGAGCAAUUGUUUUUUGUUAAGAAUGCUAUCAUGAAACAAAAUCCUUAAUAUUCAUGCGGCAAAAUUUCGCUCCUUUUUCCUCUUUUCUUAAGCCAACCAACUCCUAAAAUGCAGAUUUCUUUUGUCUUCAUUUUUCUUGCAAGCGCUCCAUCCAAACUAGGCCUUAAUUUUAUAAUACUCUAUUAGUGGGAAUGAAAUUAGUAAGGCGGCCCCAUAUGCCAAAUGGCUGCUUCUUGUACAAUGAAUACUCUUCUCGUUUAGUUUGCCCUGGAAUUGGUGAUUGCCGAUUGGAUUUUUCCAAUGGGCUGCAUAUGGGCCUUUGUGGCAUACGAAUGGAUAGGUCAUGGUGGACUUGGCCGGUCUCUUUAACUUAUUCGAUUUCGGAGAAUUCUAUUUUUUUUCCUGUAAAACAAAAGUCAGUAUUAUUAAUAAACUAUUCCCUUCUGUCUUUGUCUUGUUUUCGGAUUUUCCAAGAUGAAUCGCCCGAAGUUUAAAUCAAGGAGACUAAUCUCCAGUUUUGGUUGAUAGAAAGGAAGAAAAGAAGAAUUUCUUGUGAAACCCGAACUCUAGGCUUUAGGUAUAUAUCGAAGUGCCACAUGUACUUGCAUCUAAACAUUUUGUCUUCUUUUGGUUUUUUGCAAUCGGGAUGUUUUGAAUUAUAUAUUUUUUUAAGUGCGCGAUUUUGAAUUCAAAACUUUUUUUUAAUAAUUUCUUCUAUUUUAUCAUCAAACCCAGCCCUUCUUCCAAUAUUUUCAAUUCUUAUUAGGUAAACCCCAAAAAAAAAUUACAAUUUCAAUUCUAGGAUCAUAUCUUACACAAAAAGGCAGGAGUUUUUUUUUUAUAAUAUUCAAUGGAGACUUUAAACCGUAUAAGAAAGCAUAUGAAGGCUUGAGAAUUGUCUAUAAAGUAGUAUGUCCUAGCCCAAACUUUUGGUAUUGGGAAAUAAUAUUUCAAAUAAUAUCCUAUCCAAACAAAAAGUGUUACAGUAAUUAUUCUAAAUAAUAUUUCAAAUAAUUUCCUAUCCAAACACACCGGACUCUUCUAUUAAUUAUUUGGGUAACUAAUUUGAGAAAUUUAAAGCCAUAACAUGUGCUUACAUGUUUUUGUCUUUGAAAUCGAAGAAUAUAUUUGCACCAACAAUUCGAUCGAUAGACGUGCAUCUUCUUUUUUUUCGCCCCUUUUGGUCCUAAAAACGUAGGAUUCCUUUAUGUUUGUGAUAACAUUUUAUGCAGAUCAUUCAACUUAAUUAACUAAAACUUCUGCUUGAAUGAAAGUGGAAUGGAAAGAGACUCAACAUCAAAUGAUCGACAAGUUAAAAGGGUUUUCAAAAGUGAAUUCAAUCCUUGUCAAAAAUCAUAUUGUAUGAACUUCCUAAUUAAUUUGCACUUGCAUUAGGUUAAUUGAAACUCAUUUGUGUUGUCUUUUCUUAUUCUAAUCCUUCUUUCAAGUGCUGUGCAUGUCAUUAACCUCUCUGUCUCACUUUGUUGAAAUCCUUUCAAGAAAUAAAUUUUCUCAAGCAUUUAGGGUUUAGCGUACUGUCUAGUGUCUACCAUUAUGAAUAUAUGCAAUAUACUAGAACCCAUGGUGUUAUGAAAGUUCAAGAAGCAACUUUUUCAAAAAAAAAAAAAAAAAAAAAAAAAAGUUCAAGCAGCAAUAAAUUUGAUGUCGGUAUGCAUUGGGGUUGAUUGCAAUCACAGUAGUGAUUAUAGAAUGCAAUUUAUAGUGGGGAUGAACUGAUACUGAAUUGGAAGGAUAAAAUUGAGUUUGGAAUACAAAUCUUAAGUAGGAAAGUUACAACCCGCCUGAACGUGAAGUUGUGGAGCCUUGGAGCAAAAUUAAUUUGUCCUCAGAAAACCGAGAAACAGUAUGAAGGGCAUGUGCAUAUCCUAUUUUCUCUUAUUCAUAUUUUCUUUUUCCUUUUCUUCAUCAGUUGCAUUUCGAGUCUGUUUGUUUGAACUGAAAAUAUUUUCCAGAAAAUAGUUUUCGGAUUUUCUGGUGUUUGGCAGCAAAAGAUGUCGGGAAAAUAUUUUCCAGUGUAAAAUCUUUUACGUUACAAGAUGUAAAAUGACUUACGGAGCAGGCAUACGGAAGUUAAUUUCCAUCAAACUUAGCGUAUCAAUCAUUUCAGCGCUUACUUAUCAAAAUACUCAUAACAAAUAAGAAAUACCAAACUGAGACCAUCGUUAAAAAUGCAUCCUUACACCUGCAAUGAAAAACACCAUUGUCAGCCACCUUUCCCUCCUCCUCAUCUUCGCCAAUUCUACUCCUUUCCUCCCAUGCCAGCAUAAACAAUGCAUCCAUGGAGAUGUAGAAAAUCUAUACCAAGAGUGGGUCUUGAUAAGUUUUUGGGUGAGAGAAAUUUGGAAAAGUGAAGGAGAAAUUUGGAAGACUAUUGUGCAGAAAAGUUUGUACUAGAAUUCAAGUGCUACUUUUCCAUAUGAUGUUUGAUCAAUUAUAGGUUUUAAUUACUGAAGCAAUUUUCGUUGACAUAUUAUGAAUUUGAAUCUUCAUUGGUAUGCUGUGUAAUUGGUUUGAGAAAGUAUGAAUUCCCAAUUCUAGAGUUUGAUAGAUUUGGAGAUUGGAUGAAUCUCUGGGUUGAGAUGGUAAAUCCAAUGUACAUGGGAUGGUGGUAAUUGGAGGGACUCUAUGGGGAAUCCUUCUUCUUGUAGGUUUUAGUUUUGUGGUACAUUUUCAUAAAACUGCACCAAACACCUGAAAAUAAAGGGAAAUGAAAAUUUUUUCACGAAAAUUAUUUUCAUUGAAAAUGUUCUCCUCGGGAAAAAAUUUUACAUUGAAACAAACAGACUCUUCAUGUAAUUACUUUUCAUAUAUAUAUAGACACACACACGCAUAUAUAUAUAUGUAUAUAUGUAUAUAUAUGUAUACGUACAUAAUAAUUCACCAUAUGGCCAUAUUUAAUUUUUUUUAACUUCAGUAGAUUUUAAGUAUUUUAUUUUUUUGUAACAAUCCAUUCCAUCUAUUUAUUUUCACCCUUAUUCACCUUUUCUUUUUCACUUCCUUAACUAUCUCAACUUUCAGUCAAUUUAUUAAAUUUUUACUUUAUAUACAUUUGUACUUUGUAUUAAUCAUGCUUUAUGAAACCUUUUUAUUAAAAAAAAACCAUUUUAUCAAUCUACUCAUUAAUUUUUCAUUUUUUAAUUCUCUUAGAUCACAUUUAAUUUUCUAUUCUUAUUAUUUGGUUUGAUAAUAUAUUAUUAUUACUAAAAUUUGGAUAAAUUUCAUUCUUUCUAUAAUUCAGUACAUUUAUGAAAAUUUCAAUGGAUCUGUUAAUUCAUAGUUUUGACACAUAUUUUAAACAUUGUUUAGUUCCUCCUCCAAAAGAUUGGUUUAGUUCCUCCAAAAGAUUUGUUAAAUUAGGUAUUUUUCACGUUUUGCAAAGUGGGAGGUCUCUCAAGCGGCCAAGUAGACAAAGUUAUUGUUCACGUUCCUUAGUGACUUGUGUUCUCUUUUUUUAAACAAUUAAUUUCAAUCCUUUUUACUUAUCAUAUCUCACACACACACAUAUUAAAAGUUUUUUGGUCAAUUUUUAGUGUUUCCAAUGGUUAGAGGAGGGCUCUUAGAGUUUUUCUCAUCAUCAGGUUUAAGAUUCAAAUCUUGUGCAUGGUAGGUAGGGAUGGAAGGAUAAAAAAAAAUUUAUUUUAUUUUUUUGUUAACAAGAAUCACUCCCUUCUUCUUUUUUGCCAACUUCUUUUCCUUAAUUUAAAUGUUGUGUUUAACAUUUAAUUUGGGCAGGUAUUAAGUGAUUUAUUUUUGUUCAUAAUUCAAAUUUUAAGUGUUUUAUUUUUAUUAACAAUAAUCAAUCCUGUCUUUUUUUUCACGUGCUUCUUUUUGUUAAUUUCUGUACUUAUUAUGUUUAAUAUUUAACUUGGCUAGUUUUUAAGUAUUUCAAUUUGGGUGAUAAUUCAAAUUUUUAGUUGUUUAUUUUUUUCAACAAGAAUCAAUGCCUGUUCUUUUCCCUUAAUUUCUAUAUUUACUUUGUUUAAUAUUUAAUUUGGGCAGGUUUUUGAGUGCUUUGUUUUUGUUCAUAGUUCAACUUUUAAGUGUUUUUAUUUCUGGAUAGAUUCACAAUCAUAUGACAAUUUUCCAAAUCAUGAACACAUAACUAUUCAUUAACUAAUGUGACAAAUUCAAUAAUUUAACUUUGACUUUCAUUCAUAAGGAUCCAUUUCUUUUUUCCUCUGAAACAAAGUUUCACUUCGAGGUGUAUACGAACCGAGUAACUUGCGAGCAUGUUUGAUUGUCCCAACGAGCCGAGUGCAAGCAGAGUAUUAUAUGUUCGAUAGUUCGUCGAGUCUUAUUAAACAUUAAUGUAUAUAUUAAAUAAUUAUCUUAUAUUAUAUGACUUAAAUUGCAUAAGUGUUCAGAACUUAUUGAGAAAUUUCAUUUCUUCUCUUCUGUAGUACAACUAGUUUCAUGGGCAUUAGAUUCAAUUUUAUCCCUUCAAAAAUCUAAAGGAAUACAAAAAUUUCUAAAAAGACCUAAAUCCUAGCUUAACGAUCGAACUCAAUCGAGUCGAGUACGAACUCUUUCACAAUCUCAUCAUGUUAAGUUCAAACUGUUAUUAUUUUGCUUGAUCGAUCUCGAGCACAGCUUUAAUUCAGUUGAACUCAUUUCGGGUCUAUUGCACCCCUAGUUUCACAUCAAUAUGUUCGUAUUUAUGUCCAGGCCACAACUUGUAUUUUCCUCCUAUUUAUUUUCGUGCCCCACACUUUAUAUAUAUAUUGCUCCUGCCUCCUUCACCCUCUUACGUGUUAGGCUCCCGUGUCUCCUCCCUGCCGGUAUCUGCGGUUGGAAGCGACUACACUUGCUAAGAAAGAACGAUCCGGUGGGCACAAACGGGGAAUAAAUUAGGACACGUCAAGAUUCAAGAAUCUAUCAAAGGUUGGGUCCACGUGAAUAGUUGCUUUUCCACGUAGGACCGUCACCCACACCUUCUGAUUUCUGAUAUGGUGCGAGAUUCUCCAACCGUCUGACGUGUUAACGCCUUAACGCGUAAAGGCGGAAACGCCAAAUUUCACUUGGUACCCUUAAUGUUUGGGAGAACCGUUUUAAAUGUUUCUCACAUGUCACUAAAUUUUGUUAUUUAAAAUCUAUAAAAUUUGAUCUCAACCUAGAUUUUCAAUCACCUUUUACUCUAAAUCUAUCAUGUGACCCCGUAUGAUUAUUUUUUUAGAGCAAAGAUUUCAUUUAUAGUUAAAUAAAUGAUCCGAUCCAUAUUCAAUUUUGUUUCUAAAAAUACAUAAUCUGAUCUGAGUGAUUGUUAUUUUUUUUCCUAAAAAAGUGAUAUCUGACCAAGUUCAUAUUCAUUUUUGCCACUAAAAAAGUGAGAUAUGACCUUUUUGUACAUAAAAAAUGAUUAUAUGUGGAUCACAUGGAAAUUUUAAGUUAAAAAGUAGUCAAAAACUUAGAUUAGGACUGAAUUUUGUUAAUUUGAAUUUGUAAGGGAGGUAAAGUUAAUGUUUUAAAAGUAAAACACGAAAAAAAUUUAUUUGACAAAAUGUGAGGGACGUUUUGAACAAUUUUUUCCUAAUGUUUUGACUUUCAUCAAUUUGAACUUGAAACUUUUGUUCCUGAACUUUGUAUAUAUAAGCAAACAAAAGUGCAAAAUCACCUAAAUGCUUUUAGCCAAUAAUAGUUGACAAAAAUUAUUUUGCUUCUUUGCAAAAUAAUGCAUGCAAUACUACGUCUCCACACUUAAACUGGCAACCUCUCGAACUCAUUUUGCUUUUGGUUGAUUUUUUUAGAACUAAGCCCAUGCCUGACUAGUAAGUUGAAAGUAUGUAUCAUCAAAGUUCUGUAUUUCGAUAUUGAUUUUAUUAGCACCAAGCCCUUGCCUGAGCUAGCAAGUCAGACAUGAUCCCGCUGCAAAAUUGGAUAUGGAUACACUUCAUUGCACAUGAUUAAAAGAAAAAGAUCCUUAGUCAAUUACAUAUGGUACCAACACCAAUAAUUUUGAUGUGGGUACAGCCAGAUAAUCAGCACAUGCAUCAUGUACAAAACCACGUCAAGAAUGAAGAAUGUAGCAACAUUUUGGGUCCAUCAGAAUUCAGAAUCAUCCCUUAUCCACCAACCCUAAGGGUCUUCACCCUGGAAAUCUGAUAUGAAUCCUGGUUAAAGCUACUUCUUGAAGGUUCCUGAUAUGGUAUGGUGAGAGAUUCAUUGAUGCGCAUUAACAUGUAAUCUCCCUUGGCACCCUCAACAUUUUGACCUUGACACUUGAAACUAUUGUUUUUGAAACUUUGUGUAUUAAAUUAACAGUGAGAUUUUUCAUCAUAAAGUAUAGGAAACAACAAAAGUUUUCUUAAACGGUCUGUCCGUUAAGAUAUAUUUUAAGUGUUAUAUAUUUAAAAAUAUAAGAUUAAUUAGAAAAAGUAAAUAAAUACAAGGGAGAGUAGGUAAGAUUAAAUAGGGGAAAGUAUAUAAAUACAAGAGAGGAUAAUAAUUAUUAGUAUGUAUAUAUAUAUACACUUGAAACUAUUGUUUUUGAAACUUUGUGUAUUAAAUCAACAGAAAUUCCUGCUUUGCCGAGCUCAUCCUACACUACUUGUAUCUCAUGAACAAUAAGCAGAAAAUAAAUACAAAGAAGAGGGUAUACUAGUACUAAAAGAAAACAGAACAAUCUCUAUUUCAGAGACCCGGUUGUGCUUAUUUAAAUGGAUUGCAAACGAUAAGUUAAAAGCAUUCUUGGAUGUUUGUCAUAGAAAGACGUAUUGUUGCAUAACUUAUAGAAAUCUAGAUCCCCAUGUCUAUAGAUUUUUUUUUUGCCGCAACGAUGAUAUUUUUAUAAUCUAAUUUAUCCUAUUUUACAGAAAGGGGAAGUCUAACGAGAUUGUGUAAGAGACUAGUAGGUAUACAAAUCCGACUGUACCAAAGGAAUACUCUGACCUAUAGUCCAAACAGGGAUUUAAUCCUUUUUUUGUGACUAUUGAGCCAAAACUCUGUGGUUAUAUAGAUUUUUUUCUUAGGGAAUUGAAUUUCGGUGGAGUUUCAUGUCACCCUUCAUAUGUUAACAAUCAGCCAUAAACAUGCCUAGACCUUUGAAACUGUCCUUGUGGUUACCAUGGCAAGGCCUAAGAGAAGCCUAUUGACAUUGGACAUUAGAGGUUAAAAGAAAAGAAAUAUUAUGAAUAAUUCAUAUUUUUUUAAAUUGCAUAUUAGUCCUUGAGAAGAAGGCAAACAUUAUUACAAUGACCGCGUCGCUUGAUUAAUCCAACGUUUGAAAAAUUGUUAUAGACUUUGUAAUAACUUUCUCAAGUGAAAUACAUGAAAGGAAAACUUUUUAUCUAGUGAUCAUCCACCUAAUUAAGACUACUUAAUUUGUAGGAAUUUUUGCAUAUGCGGAAAGUGAUCAUUGGUGAAGUUUGUGAUCGAGUAAAAAGGAAAAACAUGCAAAUGGUUCUUUUUGAAUGACAUUAACCCUUUAAAAUUUUAUGAAUGUGAAGGUAGCAAGUUCUAUUGGAUUUAUUAAAUUGAUAAAGAAACCUACUCAUUUUGUAAAACAUUCAAGCCUAAACUUUAUCUGUAAAUAUGAUAUUAUCACUGUGAAUGUAUGGACUGAUUAAUUGUGCAAUUGUUUUAAGGAAAAAAGAUUGAUUGUGACACACAAAUUUCAAUUAAUGAUUAAAAUUUAUUAUGUUUUUAUACAUUACAAUCUUAUACUAUAUACUAACAGUAUACACACUAUUAUGGUUGGAUAUACGACACGUAUGCAAAAUUUGAGUUUCAAAUUUAAAUUCAGAUUAUGUGUUAUAUAUCCAAUGAUAAAGUCAGUAUAUGGAAAAUUAAUCCAUAUUUUUAUACAUUGCAAUAAUAUAUAUAUAUAUAUAUGUUAAUAUGUGUGUUAGUAGUUAUAUUUAUUCUGUAAGUACGUCCAUUUUAUGUUGCCAUUGAAACUAACAAUUGUACAAACCAUAAACCAUGAAGAACACCCCGAUGAAUCUGCAAUUCACCAAAUCACAAAAAAAAAAAAACAAAAAACUACUCCUCCUCCCAUUAUUAGGGAAGAGAAUUAUAGAAAUGUGGCACAGACAAAAUCUCAAAAGCUCCCAUGUGAUAUGGUCCACGGUCCACAGUCCACUUGACGAGUUGCCGCGGGCACAGGUCCCCGAGUGAACAGCCUCAAUACGACACCGUUUCAUCAAACUGUUAAUCUAAAAAUAAUAUAAUUUUAAAAAAAAUUUAGCAAAGACUUCUAUAUGUAGAACCUUCGCCGUUCAGUUUUCCAUCGUCUUGCUCCAAUGCUCCUCUAGCCUUCAGCUCCACCUUGGCUCUUUCCCGAUUCCCCCGCUAUUUCUUCCAUAAUUACAAACUAACCCCCAAAAGCAGAUUCUAUAUACACUCAGAUCCUUCCCCAACAAGGAAACAAAAAAAAAAAGGCUACUCGCAAAUGGUGGGAAGCUCUACGGUAGGACUCGGAACGAUGUCAUCUGCUCCAUUACCCAACGGAAAAUCAGUAAUGGAGGAUACUCAGACCGUAAGGGACGUCGAUUACUUCGAUCCGAUGGCGGUGGUGUCAGAGCCGGUCCCGCCAGUGGCUGUGGAAUCGGUAGUGGAUCGUGGAGAUGCUGAGGGGGCCGAAGUCAAUGGAGACAAGGCGGAGAAGAGAGAGAUUGUCCUUGGACGGAACGUGCAUACCACUUGCCUCGCCGUCACGGAGCCGGACGCCGACGACGAGUCUACCGGAGAUAAAGAGGCCUACAUGGCUAGUGUCUUGGCUCGCUACCGGAAAACUCUUAUUGAAAGAACCAAGCACCAUUUAGGUACAAAUGUAUUUUCUUUUCUCGUUUAUUUUCUGUGUUCCACUAUAUAAAUCGUUGAUCUCAUUUUUUUUUUUUUCAAAACGGCAACAUUUUUGGAAAAAUUGCGUGUUUUUCUUUAUUAUUUCCUCUUGAAUGAGCUAAAAGUAUGAUUUUUAGGAAAAUAAGUUGAACAAUACGACCGGAUUUAUUGGAUUCAUUUCUGAGAUUUGUGAAGCUUGAGAAAAUUGUUCUUAGUAUACAUAAAAUGCACGUGAGCUUCUAAUUUUAUAAUUUUGUAGUUAUCCGGAUAAUAUAAUGUGCAGAAAUUUACUCGUGAUUACUAGCUCCAUGGGAUUGUUGUGGACAGGCGGAUGAAAAUUUUAUUUAAAAUCAGUUGCAAAACUUGGAAAAUCAAAACAUUUGCUUUUAAUUUUGUUUAUUCAUAAACUCUAAUAUAUUUCAAAAGUCAGAAUUUAAUUUCAGAAGCUGAAUCUUAAUAUUUGCUUCUUAGAAUCAGCAUUUUUUAUGCUUAGAACAAGGCAAAAAUGCUACUGAGAACAAAUUAACCUCAAUACAGCUUUAAGCUGGAAAGAGCUAUAAAUACUGGAAUUUGAGCUAAUAAGAGCGAGCUAUGUCAGGAAGCUCUAAUUGACAAGUCCUUGCCAAACCUGGAAUUGAAUUGGUCCUUUGCAUGUUGCAGAUUCUUUUUCUUUUUUGAUUGGUGUGUUUUUAGAUUCUAAUGCUGCUAUUUUUUCCUGUAGAUUCUGAUAAUUCGUCCUUUUUGUGAUUUAUAUACUGGUCUAAUGUCUCAUUUGUCUUAUUUUCAGCGUACAGUUCAUACUUUUCCUUUUACUUUUUGGUUUUCAUGUUGUCUUCUUUUGGUAGAAUGUGCUGUAUAUAAGAUAAUAAAGGAGACCCAUUUUGAAUUUGUCUUCGCAUGUUUGUUUCAAAGGAUUUUUUUUUUUUUAUACACAAUUUCUUGUUUUGAGGACAAAUAGCCAAAGUGCAAGUUUCGACCUUCACAAGCCUUUUCUAUUGGCUUUGAAGAGGGCCUCCUUUACAUUUCAUGGAAAGUUGAUAAGCAUAUCUUAAAUCUAUUGCAGGGUAUCCAUAUAAUUUGGACUUUGAUUAUGGAGCUCUUGCUCAGCUGCAGCAUUUCUCCAUUAACAAUCUUGGAGAUCCUUUUAUAGAGAGCAACUACGGCGUCCACUCAAGACAGUUUGAAGUGGGUGUUUUGGAUUGGUUUGCUAGGUUGUGGGAAAUUGAGAAGAGUGAAUAUUGGGGAUAUAUCACUAACUGUGGUACUGAGGGCAAUCUUCAUGGAAUCAUUGUUGGGUUAGUACUGUUUAGCUGAGCUUCAUGUCUAAAUUUAAUGUGAAAUGCUUCAUCACCUGCCCUGAGGAUUAUUAUGACAUGCUUGUGAAUGCUCUUGCAGGAGAGAAGUCCUUCCUGAUGGAAUUCUGUAUGCAUCAAGAGAAUCUCACUAUUCUGUCUUCAAGGCAGCACGAAUGUACAGAAUGGAAUGCGUAAAGGUGGAUACCUCAGUCACUGGCGAGAUAGAUUGUGCAGAUUUCAAGACUAAGCUGCUUGUUAACAAAGAAAAGCCAGCGAUCAUCAAUGUAAACAUAGGUACUCUCUCUCUCUCUCUCUCAUGGCGCUCUCCUGUGUUCUGGCCUCCCCUCUCCUGACUCUUGGACUCACUCAUAUGGAAGUGGGGAAUAAAAAGGGGGAAACAGGCCAUACAUCCAUCUUCAGGCAUAUAGCGAUUGGCUUUUUGAAUAAUUCAUUCUGUAUUUGUAGGAACCACGGUUAAAGGUGCUGUUGAUGAUCUUGAUCUUGUGAUACAGACUCUUGAAGAAUGUGGUUUUUCACAUGAUAGAUUUUACAUCCACUGCGACGGAGCUUUAUUUGGUCUUAUGAUGCCAUUUGUAAAGCGUGUAAGCAUACACUUUUCAUUUUAAUCUGCCUUUGUCCAUAUGAAUGUGAAUUCCCACAGUUCGCAAGGAAAUUGGUCCUGAAACUUUUGCUUAUUUUAGCUUGGCUCAAACAUAAUCUGUAGAAGCUAUAGCUGGUACUUGAGUCUGACUUGAAUUCUAAUGUCAAGCUGAAGCCGAGUUUGAGAUCAUGGCAGACAGAACGAAGCUUAGUUUUAAUUUGUAAACAAAUUCAUUAUUCAGCUCCUAAAGUUAUUCAAGUGCAGCAAUUUAUGAUGUUAUACACAAACUUCUGCACAUAUUGAGGUACAUGAAGGCAUCUGGAUACAAGAUCUAUCUAUUGGUGCAGACACACUCCUAUACAGAUGAAAAAAAAUAAAAAUAAUAUAUGCUGUAGUCUGCUUCUGUCAACAUGAUCAUUCAAAUGGUAACCUUUAAGUUUAAAAAUUAGUGGAGUCGUUCUCUUUUUGAAACUGAAUAUUUGGUGCAGUAAUUUUAGAAGUAGAGCUUAGCGUAAUAAAAAUUUUCUACCUGUUUGUUCACUUAAGAUUUUAGUGCUGUUUGUGGACUUAUUACACACUCUUAAAGACAUUCCUUUUCAUAUAAUUAAGGGAAAAGAAAUUAAAGCAAAUUGUGUUAUCUGCCAUAUGUUAGUGUAAAAUUUGAUGUUCAAUCACCCCUGCGGUGGUAAGGGUUACAAAAUUUGCUUUUACUUGUAUUGGUAAACAAAGGUCAGAGAGAGAGCUACUUGGAAAUGGGAAAUGAUGGAAAAUCUUGAAACAAUCAUGAUAAAUCUUGUUUUAAAUUCAGUAUGUUUAAUUAAUUUAUCAUGACUUGAAUAUUUGGCACCAAUAUGAAGUUGACAUUGUUCCUUUCAUGUACAUGGCUAAGAACUAGGUCCACAGAGAAACUAUGACUGUCUUCCUUCUCGUGAAACAUGGUAUCUACUCAUAGAUUUCCAUGGACUGUAGUUAAUUAACCUUAUUCUCUAAGUGAAACUGAAUGCACAUUAAGUUGAAUGUCUCUUUAGGUAAUUAUGAUUGGCUCAUUUUCAACCUGCAUUCCAAUAUCAGCUUUUUUACUUUUUUUUUUUUGACAGGCACCAAAGGUAACUUUCAAAAAGCCUAUUGGAAGUGUAAGUGUUUCUGGCCACAAGUUUGUUGGCUGUCCAAUGCCAUGCGGUGUGCAGAUCACUAGGCUAGAGCACGUCAAUGCCCUCUCCAGGAAUGUAGAGUAUCUUGCUUCUAGAGACGCUACGAUAAUGGGAAGUAGGAAUGGCCAUGCUCCAAUCUUCCUGUGGUACACCCUUAACAGGAAAGGGUACAAGGGCUUCCAGAAGGAAGUCCAAAAGUGUCUUAGAAAUGCUCACUACUUGAAGGAUCGCCUAAGACAAGCUGGAAUAAGUGCCAUGCUCAAUGAGCUGAGCAGCACAGUUGUAUUUGAGCGGCCACGGGAUGAGGAGUUUGUUCGUCAGUGGCAACUUGCUUGUCAGGGAAAUAUGGCACAUGUUGUUGUGAUGCCAAAUGUCACGAUUGAGAAGCUGGAAGGCUUCUUGGAUGCAUUAAUUGAAGGACGUUCAAUAUGGUACAAAGAUGAUAAAGUAAAGCCUCCGUGUCUUGCCGCUGAGAUAGGAAGUGGGAACUGUUCCUGUCCUCUUCACAAGUGAAACAUUUGAUAGGACUCUUAAAAGUCUCCGUUAGUUUGUCUUCAGCAGUCACUUCAUUUGUGUAAUGUUUGUUUGAACAUGGCAGUAUAGCUUGUAUUUCAAACUGUAUUCCAUUUUAAUUCUACUUUUGAAUAUCUAGGAGUGCUAAAUCUGCUUCCAUGAGGGAGAAAGUUGACCUGUUCUUGGUUUUUGAUCCUUCCACCUUUGAGAAGAUGCUUCUUAGAACAAGUGGAAUGGUGGGCAGUUUGAUCCCUUUCUAGCCAUUGGACCAAAUCUAAUGGAUUGAUAUGCCAAAAAUUUGGCUACUUACGAACCCUUCAUGGAUAAACCCUAGACGGGAUUGUUGGAUGCAUUACCCAAGACACCAAUUUGCCAAUAAUUAUUAAGAGGAAUUGUAUGUGCUCUAGCAUAGUUGUUGAAGUAGACUGAGAUAAUGCUUAAACGUUCAGGACAAAAAUAUGCUUACAUGAUGAAUGCCUCUUGUUGGUCUGGAAAUCAGAACAUGCAUUCUUCUAAGGAGCGCUGCCAAUGUGCUACACUUUUCUUUAUUUUUUUCCUUUCUUUCUUAUUAGGGGGGGGAUGGGACUUCAUAAGCAGGGACAGGGUCGAGGGAUUUGAACUCAGAACUCCUCAGCACUUCUAAUGUGACUUCAUCUUAUUCAGAAUCAGGUUAGAUGAUGAAAUGGCAAGAGAUGGCUCUUGAUAAAUCCUCAAGGCAUACAUACUGUAUUUGAGGUUACUACGAUUGCCUUCCAUUAUUGUUUGCAUAUAUUAAUACGGUACUUUUAUUCUCAGAGCAAAGCAUUCGUAAUCCCAGCUAUUUGAUUCAUCCUCUGCCACUCGAGAGGAGGCUUUCUUACCAUUUCUCUUUGUAAGCUUUUGAGUCCGAAUACAAUGCAUUUCCUGCAGUAUUCUUCUGAUUUUUAGUAGGCUUUAGCUAGGUACUGGCAUGGAAGAUUGCACUACAGUGGUUCAACCAUGAUUGGAUACUUGUUUCUUGGCAUCCGGACUAGUGUUGGCAUCACAGAGUCGUCUUUCUCCAAUGGUUUCCAUCUGCAACAGUGCAUCAACAAGUCAGAAUAUUCUGCUAUAGCGUCAAUAUGAUGUCCUAUACAGGACUAAUGCAAUAAGAAAUUAUUCUGGCUAUCUUAACUAUUAGAAUAUUCUAUGUUUUGCUUAUACGCUAUGGUUUUCAAGUUCUUGAUUUGAUCAAAGAACUACUUGGAUCUUCUUCUGUCUGCAUUCCAAUUCCUUGUCCUUCUACGUGUCUAGCCAAGGAUGCUGCAACACAGUGCAAAUGCUCUCUCUCUCUCUCUCUCUCUACGUUGAAUGUUUCACAAUUUGUUUUAGAGGUUCAUCUUACUUGAAUCUGCAGACAAGGUGAUGAAUGAAAAUGCAAAUUUCUAUCUUGGCGAGGUUAAUUCCGGGACACAUUCGUGGUCCACUACCAAAUCCAAGAAAACUGAAAGGCUUCAAUGGCUCCUGCAAUUUAUCAAGAACUUAAUUUUGUUAACAAAGGAUAAAACAAGAAAACGGCUAUUUUCUGGAGACAGAAGAAACUUACAUCAAAUCUUGAAGGAUCAAACUUCUGAGGGUCAGGAAAAAGCUUCGGGUCAUGAUGAAUGGAUACUACAUCCAGGUUGACAGACCAACCCUUACUGAUUUUGCAUCCUAAAAUUUUUUGGAAAUUAGGAAGACUGAGAGUAUCAAAUAAUCCCGUCACUGGGCAAUAAUAGUGCCAGAUGUUAAGGGUGGUGGAUUCUACCAUCAACUGUGAAGUCUUCUGCUGCUGUUCUUGAAAACCAAGGAAGAAUUGUGGCUAUUCGAAGAGUCUCGCUAAUUACCUGAAAUCAAAAGGCCAUGAGCAUUUAGCUGGAGAAUUUUUUUUUUUUAUUUUUUUUUUGUUUUAAACAAUGAAAUGUGUUUGAAAUGGAGCUAACUUUGUUUGUGUAAGGCAUGUUGUUGAUGUCCGACCAUGUAAGACCUGAUCUGCUAGCUUGGAUUUCCCUAUGCUCUUCCUGUAAAAUGACUUCUUAGAUUCUGUUGGCAGCAUUCAAGAAAAGAUGGAUUUUGUUCUAGAAAGUCAGGGAUUAUUACUCGUAGACGUUCCAAUGCAGCAGGGUUUUGUUCAAGGAAUUUUACAAGCCAGGUCAGUGCAGCAGUAGUAGUAUCAUGCCCAGCUACUAGCAGGGUCAAUAUAUUGUCCUUCAAUUGUGCAUCUGUGAGUUUAUCGUCAUCUUCUCCUCCAUAGCCAUGCUUGUUAUACUUAUUCACUAAGGAUUCUAGGAAAUCUUGCUGGAAGUUGUCUCCAGUUCUCCGCUGAGCAAUGAUUGAGUCUAACAUUGCAUACAUCCUGUUCCGAGCCUGUCAAUGGAGUAAUGUUUUAUCAAUUUCUCUGCAGUCUGUCCUCUCUGAAGGCAAUCCCAAAUUGUUCUGUAUUCCAUUCAUUUAUAUCAGACAGAACUUAAUACCUGAAUACCACGGUAAAAGGCAGUUCCAGGAAUUUUCAGGGGGAGAGCAGAAAAUGACGAAGACAUGACUUUGAAAUUGGCACGGAAUUUCUCCUGCUCUUCACCAGCGGGUUCCAAGCUCAUUAUCAUAUUGCUGAUCACCUUGAGGGAGAACUGCAAAAUUUGACAGGUUGAAGCAUUUUAAGAAGAACAGACUUCACUUGGGAUAGAAUCACAUCACCCAGGAGCAUGAACUUAACUGUAGAAGCCUCUUCAAGAACCAGGAUUUCUCGUCCAUGCCACUUGUCCAGUGUAUCACUGGCCAAAUUAUCGAUGAACUGGAAAUACUUCUUGAGGCCAUUGAUUGAGAGGGGUUCAGCAAUCAACCUGCGGAGCCGUUUGUGUGCUUCUCCAUUUUGAUGCAGUAAACUAGUAGGACCAAGAACCUGCCUUCCUGCAUAGGACAAAUUUAAGCUCACCAUCCCAUCUUUUCCGGUUAACAAAAUCUUACUCGCCUCACUACCAGUCAUGAAGACAGUAAGUCUCCCCAAGACUGAAGUCUUGAAUACUUUCCCAUACCUAGUACAGAAAAUCAUGAUCAUCAAUAAGAUCUUAUACAUUGUUUUCAUAAUUUUUAACAGAAUAAUCCCGGACAGGAACAUAAGUGCAUCUUUAUAAAUCUAGUUUCUAAUGGCAUUCUUCCUUAGCUGAUUUACCUCUGCUGUCUCUUUCUGAUGAAGCUAUGUAUGCCUGCAGCACUUGAAAACUCGGUUAUAAACGACAAAGUUUCCCCGACAAUAGGCCAACCCAGCCUACCCGGUAUUGCCGCCAUUUCCCUUGGAGAAGCCCAUCUUUGUAAUAAAGCUGAAACUAAAACUAUCAAUAUUAGGAAGGCUGAAAGCAUUAUUAACAAAUCUUGCUCCAUUGUUUUGCAUAAAACUGAGGAAGCCGAUAUCUGGAUAUAUAAAGGAUAGGUAUUCGAAUGAAUGACGAUAAUUCCUGUAAUAAUCGUUGCUGACAGUUUAAAGCUCCAAUCCGUUACACGUCCAAUGACCAACACGGAUUUCCUUGUAUAUUCUUGUUCACUUCUUCGAAUCAUAAUAAUUUCCAUCAAAAUUUGGAUUGACUUCUGUGUAUUCUUAUACUAAAUUCUUGCUACUUAACUUAGUGAUCAACGAACAUAGAUAGGUUCAUGCGCUCGAAGCUUGCGACACCGUAUAUUUUUGUUUCUGGAUUUUAUAUGAUCCUCAAUUGAGGGAAUGUUCAAGGACACAGUAGUAGUAUAAAUGGACAAUCCCAGAAGUUUUCCUUUGGAAUUUGGCGACUCAGUUGGCUACGAAAGGUCCUCCUACAUUCAUAAGAUAAUGAGCUUGUGCUGCUUAGAGUUAGACCAAUUGUAGAUUUUAAUGCAGGUUCCAAAAAAAACUGCUUUAAUUACUAGAUUAAUUUUCAACCAUGUCUACAUGAUUUGUCUCUGAGGAUGUAACUACAGACUACAGUCCAUAUAUGCAUGUCACAACGUCCAAAGACUCCCUUCAUGGCUGCCGAUAGACACAAGUUGACAGAUGGAGGAUCGUUUCUAUAGUUCUAAUUUUUCCUUUUGGACUAAUGCUUUUACAAGUUUAUCACUGGUUAUCUAAUAACGAGGCUCAUCAUUGUUGCCGAUUGAGCACAGCAUCUUCCCUAAUGUCAUUAUAAAACAGAGAGUUUCAAUCAAUUUGAUAACUGUUAUGCGAAUUAUAGUAUUCAUUCUUAUGGGAAUGAGAAUGGGAAUGAAAAACAAGAGAUACUUUUUCUCGAAAUAUGAACAAACGGAAGUUUAACUCCGAAAGAAGCACUUCAUCAAGCCUGCCUUCCGCAAUUUGAUUGAUUUGUUUAUUCCAUUUUUACAUAUGGAAGAAGAAAACUCACAUUUGGACAACAAUCAACACACGGUUCCUUUAGCUCCUUUUUAUCUUUCAUGAUAAAUUGGAUAAACCCUGAAAAAACAAAAAAGAAUAACUAUAUGUAUGUUCUGAUUCCUUGCGUUGCUGCUAUUCAAAAUUAUUGAUCUAGUUCUGUUGUUUGCAUGUGAUUUUGCUUGGUCAAGAACGUGAGAUUGUUAACAAGGUCUAAGUUGAGGUUUGUAUGCGACAAUUUCCCAGGGCAAGAUGCCCAAUGAAUAUUCCCUACUUUCUGAAGGGAAAAGGUUGUACAUCUUUUAAGUUUAACUACCAAGGAGAAUGAAUGAUUUCGGAUCUUUUCUGCUUCCUAGUAAUGGCAUUUGGCUGUCUAUUAGAUUUAGAUGGAUUUAGAAGAUGAAAUGGACCAUGGCUUUAGAAUCCGGAGAGCCCAGAUGUCAGAAGAAGCAGAAGACGACUAGGGAAAAAGAGGUGUUAAUUAGCAGUUUGUUUUUCUUGUUGGGAUCUGAUUCCAGUGCUACAUAAUUUAGGACCUUUUACUCUCAGAAUUUAGAUUGCACAUUUCUCGUCCAGAAUUAUGCUACUUCAAUACAUUUCCAAUCUUUAAUGCAGUAAAAAUAAUUUAUGUUUAAAGUCACUAUUAAUUCAGACAGGAACUCUUCAAACCUCAAGGCCGCAUGAAUGAGCAAAAUGACAUAGGAAUGGCUUUACUUUUCGUUUCUUUCCCCCCCCCCCCCCCCCCCGUCCCCUCCUCCUCCUCCUCUUUUGGGCAAGACAUGGGAACAACUGAAGUGAAUAAUGUCUGUUACUUUUUCUUGUGUUUUAUCCUCAAUCAAAUUUAUGGGCUCAAGAAGUUGAGUUGGUUUACCGGUCAUAUAUACCUUGUCAUACCGCACCUAUAUUCAAUCAAACCGCAUGCUAUUGCUUCUUACCAUUUUAUAUGAACUAAUGAUGCAGGAAAAACUUCAACUUGUUUUCAGCUGAUGCAUGAAAUGAAUUUUCCUGUAACAGGAUGGAAAUUGGUAUGCAAGCAAGAAACAAGCUCUGAUUCCGGCCUGUUAUGGCAAGGCAUAGACUUCUUCUACCUGUCAGUCAGUCAAUCAUCUAUGCUGAACUUCCACCUGCAAAGCCUGCUGUUACAGUCAGCGACAAGAGAAAUAUGAAGCUGAUGAGUGUCAUUGUGAAUCAGUAAUUUCUAAUAGUAAUGAUGUGAAGGGUUUUAUUACUUAUUAAUCUAAUCAUCUUACUAGUAAAAAAGAACACAUACCGGAGGCAACAGAAACAGGAGAGAGAGAGAGAGAGAGACUGAAGUUCUCUAGAUCCUCAUAAACAUACCAAUGUUGAUGGAUUUAACUUGUACAAAUAUCAGUCUCUCUCAGAGAUUACAUAUUACAGAAGCAGUAAAUUACAUGCAACAGAUUACUACCAAUAUACAACACGUUUACUGAGUGCUUUGCACUUCAUAAUAUUUACAGAAUAGGAAACCCCGUUUCAGAACUUGAUAUCUUGGCAGACCAUGGAAAGCAAAUAAGAUAACAGCAAAUGGAGUACAUAUCCUGUUAGGUAGUUGCACCAGCUACAAC
rnacentral:lncRNA from 1 species